rnacentral:lncRNA from 1 species
UAACAGUUAAGAAUUUUUAGAAAUAUGGUUACAGAUCUUAACUUUAUAAAUAAAUGUAUGUGGGUAUUAUUUUUAUUUUUUUUUGAGAGAUAAAUAACACGCUACCCGCUUCGUUUAUUUUAUUUAGAAAUAAAUUUAGCGAAAAAAUGUGAAUCAAUUAGAAUUCGAAUUUGAAAUCUCGGGUACUAACCACCAAAUUCUUUGUCACUUGCUCUAGGGACGGUCGAUAUGUGGGUAUAAUACUAUACAAACAAUUGCAAAGCAUAUAUAGAGUGUGAAAAUUUUUUUUCUUUUUCUUUUGCUGUAACAUGUGGAAGCAGAGAAUAAAAAAAUGCUUUACUUAAGAUUUGGGUGGAAGAAGAUACAGAUAAAUUAUUGCACACUCCUCGCAGCAACAUCUCUCAUUAUAUAUUUUAAAGUUAAUUAUCGUAUAUUUUUCUAUAAAUAUAUCGAAUAAACAUAUCGAACAGUAAAUAUAUUUUUAUAAAAUUUAACUUUUUAUUUUUAUUACUAUAAAAGUUGAAUAAUAUUUAUAUUUUUUUUCUAAUUUAUUACCAUUAAAGUAUUGCUUAUGUUUUAACCACAGAUAAGCAAAAUGACAAUUUUGCCCAUACGAAUAUAUCAUUCCAAAAAUAAAAACUAUUGAAAUUAUAUAAAAAUUUUCUCCCAAAAAUAUUGUUUAUUCAAUAAAAUAUAGGAAGUAAAAAAUUUUAAUUUAAUUUUACUUAUAAUUAAUUAUAUUUUUAUAACGGAUUUUAACAACAAAGGUAUAAUUGAUAACAUUAGAACUUUUAUAGGAAUAAAAAUAAAAAAUUAAACUUUGUAAGAAUAUAUCUAUUAUGCAAUUAACCCUAUAAUUUAAGUCAUCUUAAAUCUAUAGGGGCGGAAACAUUAAUUCCAAGUGUUCGGGGGGCCGUAAUGUAAAACUCGGCGUACGACGAAGUUGUACGAGCGGAGCGCACGCGGACGCUUUAUUUCCGCCGUCCGAUCGAUCAUUUAAUUGCGCCCGUUAAUCGCCCCCGUCAAUCAAUGCGUCCGUACGCGUCCGCAUGCGCCACCGUGGACGUCCCACAACCACUCGAUGCGGAAAAAAGAGCCGGAGGAAUAAAAUUAUAAAAAAUGAAAAUAUAAAAAAAAAAAAGAAAAAGAAAAAAAGAAAAAAUGGUGAGGAGAAUAAGAUCAAAGAAAAAAAUGCGCACUUUAUUUACUUCCCUAGGAGGUUGUGCCAAAACCAACGGCUGUGAUUCGGCGAGAACUUUUCAACUUUGACCCCUUUUUAGCUUUCAACUUAAACCUUAUCCUUUUGGAACUUACUUUCUAUGAUCUUCGCAUAAAUACCCCUUAAAGAUAAGUGUAUUACUACACGGUAUAAUUUUAUUCAAUGAAUUAAAGUUAUAUUUUAAUUUUGUUCAUAUCACUCAAAUUGUUGUAUUUUACUCUUAUAUAUACACUUAUGCACGAUCCUCUUACGAAGCUUCUUCGCACAAAAAAAAAAAUUAUGUUUAUUUAUUAUUAUUUUUUAAAUAAUAUUAUUUAUUUUUUAAAAAAAAUUUAAUUCCUGAUGAUUAUCCAGGAGAGUUCGACUAAUGAACCCAUCACGUUGUUGGUGGGACCCACCAAGGAGUCCGCAUUGGUGGGACCCACAUUAACCGCACGUGGGACCCACCCCUCGAGCCCCCGACCAACCACAUCCUUUUGUCCCCGGUGCCAAUCCUCCGUAUAGUCCUCGUUCGAUCGGUACUUGCUCCCCACUUUUUAUUCUUUUUUUUUUUUUUUCUCGUUCCUUUUAUUUAAUUAAUUAAUUAAUUAAUAUUUAUUUUAAGUACAACAUUUUUUUGCACCCACAUUUAAGCACAGGUCCCUCAUAGAAAAUCUUGGAUUGUGGUGAUCUAAUUAAGGCUACUAACGUAACAUGAAUCUGUUUUGUUGCAAAACAAGAUAUGCUUUUUUUAUUUUUUUUAUCCCACAAAUUAUGAGAACGUUGAUGAUAUAUAUAGUAGAGGAGUGACUUUGUUUGAUUUGCACGAAACAAAUAGUACAUAAUUCUUUUGAAGUUUUUUUUUUUUUUUAAGAAGAGUUGAUAUUAAAGGGUCGUGUUUUUUUUAUGAAGAACAUAAUUUUAGAUAGAAACUAGAGAAUAAAAAAUAUGAUGGAACUUUUGAGUGCUUCUUUUAUCUAUUUUUCCUUUUUUUUUAUGCCCUUUUUCUAACUAAAAGAGUGGAAUUAUUUGUUCUCUCCAUACUCCAUACAUGAUUUUUAAUUCCAAAGUCUAUUUGAGUUGACUUUACAAGCUCAAUAUAUACUUGGUAGCAGCUAAGUUCGUCUUUAAGAACUAUAAAAAUAUAUAAUACUAGAUCACUAUAUAUAUAUAUAUAUAUAUAUAUAUAUAUAUACACCAUUUUAAAGUAACCCUUCAACUUCUAACUUUUUGUAUGUAAAUUUUAUUAAAUGCAUGUAUGCUUCAUUUGGUUUGCCCUUAAUUUCGAAGUACUAAAUAAGAAUAACUUUGGAUGGAUCAUAUAAUAUAUAUUCCAUUCAAGUGCAUUAAAUAGAUGAUUUAUUAUUAAGCAAGUGGCACCGAAUUGGAACAUGGUCCAAUAAUAAGUGGGCGUGAGAUUACAAUAUGGCUCGAACCAUAAUUACAGUUAUAUAACAGCCCACAACAUUUGAAACGUGACAUCAAACACCCCGUGUUUUGCGACUAUUUGUUAUAUAUAUAUAUAUAUAUAUAUAUAUAUAUAUAUAUAUAGAUAGAUAGAUAGAGUUGAGCUCAAAUAUUAUUAAUAGUAUUUAAACUUUUUUACUAUCAAUUUUUAGCCAUUAGAUCUACACUUUAGUCAAUUCUAUCUUUUAGAUCAUACUAUUCAACUAACAAUCCUCUCAAUUUUAAAAGAACCACCAUUAAAUCCGAGCUAGGAGACCAUUAUUAUCCUAAUCCUAUAAUUUUUUAUUUAAGGGUUAAAAACUCGAUAACGAAAAAGUUCAAAUACUAUUAAUAAUAUUUCAGUCCAAUUUUGUAUAUAAUAUAUAUAAUUCACAAGUUAGUAGCCACCAAGUUCCCAUAUCACUACAACAGAAUUAGAUUAUAGGGACAUAUGUUUGGGACACUUUUGUGUAAGUGUCCCAUUUAUGCCAAAAUUUUUUUUAAAAAAAAUACUAAUGCCUAAAUAUAAAGUCCAAUCCAACCAAAAAUAAAAGGUUACUCUACUCAAUCCACCCCACCCAGCCCAUUCGACCCGAUUACAAACAGAAAAGAAAAAGAAAAAAAAAAAUCGAUUACCAUUUCCCCUUCUCCCCUCAGUCAAUCGACUGAAAUUCUAGACGAAGAUCCCUUCCUCUCAUCCUCCUCCGCCACCGCAGCCAACGAAGUAGAGUUCCAGCUGUUGCUAAAUACUUAAAUAAGUGUUGGUAAAUUACCAGCACUCUUUUUAGGUUAUAGCGACACUCUUUAACUGUCACUAUAUACCUAGCGACCCCACAUAUAGCAACAUUUUUUAAAAGUGUCGGUAAUUUAGCCAGCAGCACUUUUUUUGACCUAUACCGAUAUUUAAAAGUGUCGCUAUAGACUAUUUUUGUUGUAGGGGCAUAUAAUAGUAGAGAUAAUAUCUAAUAUACUUUUCAAAAUUUCGAAAAUAUUUUUUUUAUUUCUAAAUAAGUAAAAUAUUAUUAUUGGUUUUAAAAUAUUUCUUCAAGUAUAUAUAUUUUUUCUCUAGAUUAUGUAAAUGGGAUUAGAUUUUAGAAAAAAAAAUUAAAUAUUAAGAGAAAAUUUUAAUAAUUUUCAAUAGUAGUAAUGAGCAUGUAAGCAAAAUCAUCUAUUUAAGAUAAUCGUGCUUUUCACUUCUAAGGUUCUAUUCUACGUGCCAUAAUUUUUUCAAGUGAUUUUUUUUUAAAAAAAGAGAAUUUAAGGGAUCUCCUAAUUAAACACAACAAUAGUAAUAACUUUUCUGUGUGCAAGGUCCAAGCUAUAUAUUCAUCAUUAUUAAAAUGUCGUUCUUUAUUAGUUUAAACUUCUAAAAAUAUACUAUUUUACAUUAUAAAAAAAUCUAAUAAUACAUUGUAAUUUAGAAAAAUGCCUACUUGUACAUCUCUAUAGUUUAGUGUAAAUCUUGCACGAGUGCAUCUCAAGUAUUUUAGAAUUCCAAUUUUUUUAAAUUUCUAAUUAAAAAAAUUAAUAUGACAAGUAGAGAAUAAGUUCGAAUUCUAGUUUAUGCCAUGUAAGAGUAAUAACGGACCGUCCCUAGAGUAAGUGGCAAAGGGCCUGGUGGUUGGUACUCGAGGUUUCAAGUUCGAAUCCUAGUUAAUUCACAUUUCCAGCUAAAUUUGCUUCUAAAUGAAAUAAAUGAAGUGGGUAGCAUGCUACCUAUUUCUAAAAAAAAAAAAAAGUAAUAAGGUACAGUUUAGCUCAUUGCUUAAUGGUUAUUAACCGAGAUGCCCGCUAAGAUGUCGACGAUUUGAUCCUUUGCUGGUGCUUUUAUAAAACAGAACCGAUCCCUCUCUUAGGGGAAAAAAUGCAUACGCAAUAGGAAUUGAGCGCUAAUGCUUUUAAAAGUAUCAAGUCAGUAUUACUUAUAGGUUUCGGUCCUUAGACUAAGAGAUGCGUGGCCAAGAUGAUAGUAAUUUUCUAAAAUUGAGUGGAUGGUUGAUUGAAUAGUAUAAUCUAAUAAUUAACAGAUAAAAAUGAUCAAAGGAGUAAAUCUAACAGUGUAAAUCUUACAAGCACCGAGUAUUUUGUACUUAAAAGUAUCGGAGCUGAACUGUAUGUUGGUGUUCUUAAGAGAGUAUUUUGAAUUCAGGGGCCCAUGGAGAAACUAAAAAAAAUGAAAAGGAAAAGAAAAGAAAAGAAAAAAGGUAAUAGCCAAAAAGUGGGUACAAACUAACACUUAUAGAUACACUUUUAGAUUGAGCAAUAACAUUUGGCUAUUGAUUUAACUGGUUAGUCAACAUUAAAGACCAAAUAAGGGGUUCUAAAUUGACCACGAAUUUGGCUUUGCUCUUAAUAAGGGAUGGGUACAAUUUAAUUCAUAGGUGUAGUACCAUGCUUUAUAAUGUAUAUUGUACAAAGCAACUUUGUUGGGAGAAAAGUCUUAUGCUCAUUACUUAUACCACAAAAGCAAUAGUAAGAGAGUAGUCAAAAAGAUAUAAUAACAUGAGUCUAGCUUGGUAAUUUUUAGAAGCACAUACAAUAUAUGCUUCAAACCUUUUUAGCACUUAGAUUAAAUAUUAUUCUACCCGUUCCCACUAAAUCAUAAAUAUAUAAUGUUAUAACUUAUUAGCAACCAGUCCGAAUAGAUACUAAUAACAUAUCAAUUACAAGUUGAUCGUCCCUAGUGCAAAUUUAAAAAGGUUUGAUGGUUAUAUAGUAUCGAUUAUUUCAAAUUCGAAGCCUAACUUCGUUUCUAAAAAAAGAACUAUGCUACCAUUAUGUCUAAAAAAAAAAAAUCAUAUCAUUUACAUAUUGGAGACAAAUAUAACUGUUUUCACCAAUGUUCUUUCCUUGUAAUUGUUAAGAUAUCAUUGAUAUUUGGAUGAUGAUUUUUUUUUUUUUUGGGUGUGGGUUUUAUCAAGAAAUAGAAUAAAAAUGAAAUGAGUCAGUAACUCUUGCAAAGAGAUUUUAGAAUGUCACUAGCUAGCUAGGUAACUCUUUUUAUUAGACCAUUCUUUGUGAACUUCACGGACUAAAACAUUUUAUUUUCCGCGCAAUCAAAAUAGGAAAAUGCUUUGCUUAAAAAUAAAUUGCAUUAUACUUUCGAAAUGAAAAAAUACUUGGAUUUUAACUUCGUAAUUAUAAACAAAGCACAGUGAUAUGCAUUCUUGAGUUAUUAAUCUCAAAUAAUAACGGGUAACGGAGCAUGGUUAAGGGGGUCCAAAAUGUGAGAACAAACACAUCUUAAUGGUAAUCAAUAAGGAUAGAAAUAAACAGGCAUUUUGUGUGAAACGCAAUUAUAAUUAACCAAACAUGGUAGGUUAAUGGGCUAAGCCCAAUAAUCCAACAGCAAAAGCCCACUAAAGUGUAAGGUUUUUUCAAUAUAGUUUCGAAUCGAACAUACUUUUUCAAAAUUUUGAGGUGUCGAAUGCCCAAAACCUUAGUUCAUGAGACAAUUUACCCAUUAAUAAGGCAAAUAAAACUUUAUUAUACUAGCUUAUACAUUAGAAUAUAUUCCUUACACAUCACCGAAGAACCGGUUGUGGAUCACGAGGUAAUUAACAAGCCAUUUAGAUUUUAAAGCUGAACCUCUUAACCCAGCAGGAUUUAGAAUAGUCCACACCAAACCUUUUAAUCCGACUAUAAUACUUUGAACAGAGUUUUAAGAGAUUAAGAGAGUUAAGCAUAUUAGAACUAGAGUGGUUCCAUAAUGAAUGACCUCUGUGGGAAGCGAGACGUUAUAGUUGAUAUCAUAAAUAAUUACGAGUCGAAAGUAUGAGAUGGGAUCUCGACUGAAUUGGAGUCAUACAGCGGGCAUAGCACAAUUCCUCAGCCGAUGACUGUUGCGAGUGGGAAUGACCCUCCAGAAAGAAAGCGGGGACGUUACAAUACUAGAUCUAUUUGCAGAUACCUAGGGGUGUAAUGUGCCACAUUUCCCGUGCCGAAACGGGCCGGAGGCCAGCCCGGCACGGCCCGGCCCCAAAGUCGGGCCGUGCCGUGCCGGGCCAAAAUUUUUGGACCCUGGCCCAGCACGGCCCCCCGGCCCGGUCUGUACGGGCCGUGCCGGGCCGGGCCGGGCUUCGGGCCAGCCGUUUUUUAUUUUAUUAAUUUUAUUUAAAAAUAUUUAAAAUUUUUUUAAAAAUAAAAAUAAAGAUAUUAUUUUUAAAAAAAAUUAAUAUAUAAGUAAAAAAAUUUAAAUUUUAAAAUAUAUUUAUAAAAAUAUUAAAAUUUUAAAUUAUUUUAAAAUUUUAAAUUUUUUGGACCAAAAUGUCCUUCCCAACAGUCAAAUUUUUGACUGUUGGGAAGGGCAUUUAGGUCCGGCCCAUCUCCCAAAAGUGUCUGCUUUCACAGAACCCAACUCACUUGGGAGAGCCCCAAAGUCAAAACCCAACUUCCAAUGCACAUUGGGAGUUGGGUUGAUGCAGCUUGGGAGUUGGGUUGGGUGCAACCCAACUGACCAACUCCCUGCCCGGGCCCGGGUCGGGAGGCACGGGCCACACGGGCCGGGCCGGGCCGUGCCGUGCCGGGUCUGGACAUCCCUCAGCCCGGCACGGCCCAAGCCUGUGUCGUGCCGGGCCGUGCCGGGCCACCGGGCCGCGGUAGCAAGGCCCAGCACGACCCGGUUAAGCUGGCCGGGCCGGCCCGGCACGAGUGCUACAGUGCUCGUUCCGUGCCUGGCCCGGCCCACUCCCGUGCCGGGCCGGACGGCCCGCGGGCCGCCCGGCCCGUUUGACACCCCUACAGAUACCUAGCCAACCAACUUGACUUAAAAUAACAAUAAUAAUAAAAGUAAAACAAUUACGUGUCAUGGAGUGAUUAAAUUCUGAUCAACUAAAAAUCACCAUCAUAUGGUGAUAAUCUAUUGGAUAAAUUCAAAUUCUCCCACUUUCAAAGGAAUUGUACACCCCACUUGUGAAGCCAAUGUGUGGGCCAUGGUCCUAAAUUUCCCGACACACUUUCUCUUUUUCCUGUAUAUAUAUAUAUAUAUAUAUAUAUAUAUAGUAGGGCUAGAAUAUUUUUACAAGUAUCACCCAAGUGAUACUUGUGUGUUUUUAACCAUUGGAUCUACUUUUUUAUUACUAAUAGCUUUUAGAUCAAACACUAUUCUACCUACCACCACCUACCACCAUCAUCUCAACCUCACAUCUCUCCAUCCAAGGGCUAAAAACACACAAGUAUCACUUGGGUGAUACUUUUACAAGUAUUCUAGCUCUACUCUAUAUAUAUAUAUAUAUAUAUAUAUAUAUAUAUAUAUAUAUAUAUAUAUAUAAUUGAGCUUCUAUACUUUUAAAAGUACAAAGUUAUUGGUGUUUGUAGAUUUUUGACCAUUGGAUUAAGAGAUGUGCGGUUAGAUGAUAUGGGCCUCCUAGGGUUGAGUGGGUGGUUGGUUUAAUAGUAUAAUUUAAUGGUUGAAAAUGAUCAAAGACGUAAAUCUAACGGUAAAAAACUUACAAGCACCAAGUGCUUGGUGCUUUUACAAAUACCAUAGCAGAACUACACAUAGACACUAGUAGAAACAUACAUCAAAUAUAUAGAUAUAUAAUAAACGCAUAGAACCUUUUAAAAAAUAUAUCUAAUCAUGGUUUUUUUUUUUUUUAAGAGAUAGGUAGCACGCUAUUCGCUUCGUUUAUUUCAUUUAGAAAUAAACUUAGCUGAAAAUGUGAAUCAAUUAUGAUUCGAACUUGGGUCUCGAGUAUCAAUCACCGAGCUCUUUACCACUUGCUCUAGGGACGGUCGGUAAUUUCGAGAUUUGUUAAUUUUAAUGUUGUACACAGACGCAUACUAAAGUACAAACAGAGAAUCGAGCCUGGGCCCAUCUUAGAUUCUCAGGUAUCUUUUUUUUAAGAAAAGGUAGAUAUACGGAUGCUACCGUUUUAUACAUUUACGCAGCGUUUGGUACUUGAAAAUAGUAAUUUUUGAAUUUCUGAAAUAAGUUGGUAUAAGAUUGAAAUUAUCGUUUCACUUUUUUCUAAAACAAGCUUGUUUUUAGGUGAGAACAAGUUUAAUUAAAGCCUAAAUUUAAUUUUAAUUACGAUAUUAAAUUAUUAAUUAAUCUAAUUAAUAUAUUUAAAUCAUUAUUUAUUAUAUGGAUAAUAAAUAAAUAAAUAAAUAAAUUAAUUAUAAUUAAUUAUUAAUAAUUUAAUGUGUUUAUCCAUAAACUAAUAUUUAUAUUGAUAAAUCAUUAAUAUUUCUAUUAAUCUAAUUAAUUUUUUUACUAGUUAUCCAGCUAAAAUAAUUUACUAACUAAUUGAAAAGUUAAAUUAUUUUUAUAAUUAAUUAAUGAAUUAAUAUAUUUUUAUUAUCUUAUACAAUAUUAAUAGCUAAUAAAUUUAUUAAUUUAUUAAAUUAUUUUUAAGUAAUAUUUUGAUGUUAAUUAAUUAGAUAAAAUAAUUUUAAUUUAAAAUUAUAACUCUUAUUCUUUUUAUUCUAAUCUAAUCAUCAAACACUAUUUACCUUAUUUCUAAUAACAAUACAAUUUUUAUCGAAACACAAAAUUAGUUUAACUUUUGUUUAUAUCUGAACUUGUACUUAUUCCUGAAAUAAAUAAUUCUUAUUUAUAUUUGAGCCAAAAAUAGCCUUAAAAAAUGAACUUGGUUACAAAAUGAAAUAGUCGGGGCCUCUCAAAAAAAAAAAAAAAAAAAAAAAAAAAAAAAUCAACGCGAAUUUUUAUUGAAGCAAAGUGGAACCAUAGAUCCUUAAGAUUUUUCAGGUAUCUCAUCAUUAGGUUGAGCUUGGUUAAAUGCGGUACCAAGUAGGUUCUUUGUAGGUCAACUGUAGCUCGGAGGAAAUGGCAUAUUUAUUCUCUAAGCACUAAGGGCCGUUUGUUUGUUUGUUUUCGUGUAAGUGGAGGAAUAGAAUUCAAAUUCCUAUCAUUUUUAUUAUUUAUUUUGGUAUAAAUUAAAAAUAUAAUAUAACUCAAAUUAUAUUAGACCUUCAUUUCAUCUAUUCUCGACUUUCUCCUCUAAAGUAUCAAAUUUGACUUCCACCAGACUCAACUUCCUUUAUAAUGAGUUAAAAUUAUCUUAUUUAUAAUAAAUUAGGAUUACCUUUUAAUAAUAAAAAAAAAUUAAUUAUAUAAAGGCUAAAUUUUAUAACGAUAAGUUUACCAUUAAAUUUAGGAGAUAACGGGAUCCACUUAUUUAUAUCAAAACAAAUAAUGGAACUCAAAAAACUAAUUUUACCAGUACCAAGUUAUAUCAAAACAAACAGAAUAAAUAAUUAAAUUUAACUUUCGAACUGUACAAAUUACGUCAAAAUAAACAACAAAAAAAUAAUCACAUUUCAGAAAAACACAAAAACUACUGCACUUAAGUCACAUUGGAUCUACAUAUUCGUAGAUCCAAACGCCCCCUAAACCAACCAAUUUAUUUUGUUUUAUUUUAUUUUAUGUGAAUAAAAAUAACUAUUUGGUAGUGGUGGUGAAGUCCUGGUUGGAGAAAUUAUUGCUUGGGAGUGGUCCACCAUGUCAGGCAGUGAACCGGCUAACAUCAUCUCCAUUUUAAGCUGCAGAGUAAUUAAUUAUAGGCGAACAAAAAGCAUUAUUUGGAUUGCUUUACUUGUAACUACAUAUUAUUGCCAUUGAACUUGCAAGAUAAAAGAGCUCAAAUUAAAUAUAGGUGAAAGAUUAAACAGUUGGAAAUUUUUUCUAUAUCUUCGAAACACAUACCGAUAAUAUACAAGCUUUUGACUAAUUUAUAUGCACGCUGAAAAAAUAAUUUGCAACUUCAUAGGAUGAGUAAAUAUCCAAAAUAGUUAAAUUUAUCGAAAUUACCACUGAACAUAACGGGCGUUUUUUUAAAAUUUGAUUACUGAAAAUAAAUUAAAGGCUGAGGAAUAUAUAGGUGAGUGCGUUUACUUAAAAAUUCAUACUUAGAGGGCGGUUAUUGUUAAUUUCCACUUUUUAAAAUUAUGCGCUCCUCGUGCUUUGCAUUUCGCGAUGGCGCGGGAGCCCAAAUCGCAAUACUAAUUGUACGAGAAUCUUUCUCUCUCUCUCGAUCGAGCGCGCGCUAGGGUUUCGUCGUGAAGGUAUGCUUUACUCCUCCCUCUCCUACGAUUACUUCGAUCUCACCCUUUGAUUCGAUUAAUUAGGGUUUAAAUUGUGCACAUCAUUGUAAGUUGUAUGAUCUCCAACCGUUUCAUCUCAUCAAUCCCUGAAUAUUGCGUUAAGUUUAUAUAAUUGGGAAUACUUUUGAGUCAGAUCCACUUUUACUGCUCUUUUCUUCAAAUUUCUGGUCAAUGCAUGCACGAAAUUGAGUAAUUUUGGGGUAGAAAUUGUUCGAUUAGGGUUUCGUUAACUCGGGAGAGAAAUGAGCCCCAACUUUGACCUAGAAAGCGGAUUAAUUGAUCCGACAACAAUUCCCCCACUCUCUCCCCCAAUUCCCGUCGAUCUGGAACCAGUUGAUGGCUCCGAGAUAUUCCCGGAUGGAGCCCUUAGCUACAUUAACCAGUUGUUAAUGGAGGAGGACUUUGAGGACAAAUUUGAGCGGUACCCCGACUAUCCGGCCCUUCUUGCUGCUGCGGAGAAGCCAUUCCUUGAGAUCCUCAGUGAGGAAAAGCACUUUCCCGAAAGCGACAACCAUAGUAGUAGUACUAGUAGUGGUAGUGGUUGUGGUAGUGGUGAUAUUGUGGAGAUAGAGAAUACGUCCCCCUGUGAUUCAAUUGAGCAUUUUGAACAAGAAAGUUGCCAUCUUUAUAUCGAUCAUUCCUCCCAUUCUUAUUUCUCAUCCGCGAACAACUCUGGGGGUAUCAUAGAAGGAGAUCUUAUUCAACAGAACCACCCAGUGGAGUUCCUUCCUGGUGAUUUUAAGUCGGUGAUUGAUUUUGAGGCCAAUGGCUUCUCUUUAGCUCAAGAAGUAGACGAAAAGACAUUCAGUUUAGUCGAGAAGGAAGAGUAUCGAGAUCGUAGGGGGCACAAGAACACGCACAUUGAUGAUUUGGAUUUGGAAGAAGAAAGGAGCAAUAAGCAAGCGGCCGUAGACGGCUUGGAAGGUUUUCAUCAAUUGUUCUAUGAGGUCUUACUAUGUAAUAGUGAGACUUGCCCUUUUCGAGGCGACAAUGAGAUGAGAAGUGUUCACGGCAGUCAUCAUUCUAAGGGAAUGGGUAAUCGAAAGGGCCGGCGGAAGAAGCAACCGAAGGGGGAUGGUGAUGCUGUCGAUCUUCAAACCCUUUUAAUUCACUGCGCUCAGGCCGUGGCUGCUGAUGACCGUCAGAGCGUGACUGAACUGUUGAAGCAGAUUAGACAACAUUCGUCCCCCCGUGGAGAUGCAAACCAGAGGUUGGCCCACUGCUUUUCCGACGGGCUCGAGGCGCGCCUCGCCGGCAUGGGAUGUGAUGUGACGGGUUCCCUUGCAAUGAAACAAAUUCCUUGUGUCGAUAUGCUGAAGGCCUACCAGCUUUUCAUGGGGGCAUGCCCUUUUAAGAGGGCUUCUAGUUUCUUUUCGAAUCAUACAAUUCUUGAGGCUUCUAAGGAUGCAAGAGUGGUCCAUAUUAUAGACUAUGGCAUAUUCUACGGGUUCCAAUGGCCGAUCUUGAUUCAGAAGCUCUCGGAUCGACCAGGUGGUCCUCCAAGGAUACGGAUAACAGGUAUUGAUUUGCCCCAAACUGGUUUUCGCCCGACUGAGCGGAUAGAGGACACAGGACGACGGUUAGCUGAUUAUGCACGGAGAUUCAACGUUCCUUUUGAGUUCCAUGCCAUUGCAGCCAACUGGGAGACUAUAAGGGUUGAGGAUGUUCGUAUUGAGAAGGACGAACUUCUUGUCGUUUACUGCCUCUACCGUUUUAGGAAUCUAAUGGAUGAGUCAGUAGUAGCUGAUAGCCCAAGAGAUAGAGUCCUACGCACGAUCAGAAAGAUGAAUCCAGAUGUAUUCAUUCACGGGGUUGUGAAUGGGACGCAUAGCGGUCCCUUCUUCCUCACACGCUUCCGGGAAGCACUUUUCUAUUUCCAUACAAUAUUUGAUAUGCUCGAAGCUACCAUUCCACGAGAGGACCCACACAGGAUGCUUAUCGAGAGUCUGAUCUAUGGGCAGGAGGCCAUCAACGUAAUCUCUUGCGAAGGGACUAAAAGGGUGGAGAGGCCGGAAACUUAUAGGAAGUGGACCUCGAGAAACAUUAGGGCGGGUUUUAGGCAGCUUUCUUUGAACGCUGAUUUAGUGAAGAAGGCGAGGAACAUGGUGCGAGUGCUCUACCACAAGGACUUUGUUGUCGAUGAGGGUAGUAAUUGGUUGCUGCUUGGUUGGAAGGGGCGGAUUGUCAAUGCCCUCUCUACAUGGAAACCCAAUAAUCGGUCCUAAUCUUUCGCUAUAUUAACUGCUGUAAUAUGCGCUUUUUGUUUUUAUUUACACUCAUCUGAAUUUCUGAUUGCAAGAUAACCGUGAUCAUCUCCAUUGAUGUUAGCUGGCCUUCGUUGUUUAAUGGUUGAAUCUUCUCUUGUUUAUCAUUUGCUUUUGAAGACCAUAUGCAAUAUUGGUUAUAAUAUAGGAUAGAAAUUGGACUUUUAUCUGAUUAACACAAUGGUAGAGAUGUUUGGUAAUCUAAUGAAUUUUCCUUUUUUUUUCCUUUUUAUUUUGGUUUUUUAGGAAUAAAAAUUUGGGUCAUACAGGAAACGAAAAUUCUGUCAGUUUUGCACAAGGGCAAAGUAAUUCGGUGAUAUAAUACAAGGUCUUAGGAGAAGGAAAGGACGGUUUGGUUACAACCUAGGUUUAAAAGCUUUUGAGCAAUGCUUUUAUUACCUCGUAUGGGACAGCGCCUCUAUGGCGUUGAGAUGUGAACUAACCAGCAUGCACUAUCUGCAUGAUUGCAAACACACCAGAAAGAAAAUUUAAGAUCUGAUAUAAUAAUAUUUAAAGUUUUUAUCUCGUUUGCCAGUGGAAAAUUAGUGAAAAACUAAUGAAAAAAUGGUUCUUCUUUGAAAUCUUCUAUUAAGCACUUCGUUCCUGUCCAGAGAGAUUCUAUGAAAACACUAUCGGAACAGAGAUGUUCGAAGAAACAACUUUCUCAUGUAAAUACUUCCAACGAACUUUCCCAGUGAAGCCAAAAUAAAAACAGUAAUUUGCUGACUCCAAAGUUCAUUUCAGCUUCACAGAGCAACGGAUCUUUCAUUUGCUACAAUACUAAACCGCUGCUUCUCAAAGAACAAGGCAAUGAAAACACACUAGCUAUAAAACAACCAUAAACAACCAUAGGCAAUUUUGAAAUAUUAGCGUAUGGUAGCAUUCAAUAAUCACUUUUAAUUCCCUCUCCAUAUUAUAGGUAAUAAUUGGCUGGGUUCAUCAGAUUAAAACUACAGUAAUGACCAACUUUAUGCAAUCUGAGUAACCUAUGUACGCCAUAAUUAAGGGCCUAAUCAGAAUCGAGUGGUGAUCUGGGAGAAGAGCGCCUUGAAAUCCUUUGUCAGUGUACCAACACCCUCCGGCUUUGACGCCAGGUCGAAUGCCUUGAACUUUGCUUCCUCAAAUUGCAGGGCCUGUACAAUCAAAGGUUCAGAAACAAGACAAGGCUAAUAAUAGGCCUGUACAAUCUAAGACAUGUCUGUCUGGCCUGAUUGUAUAACAGAUCUAGCCCGACAAGCAGCAACUAGGCAUAAGUGAACUGUCCAGAACUUGCACUGCAGUGGCAAGCAGAAGUGAGCUUGCAGGCACCGGAAGCAGAAGAUCAAUUCGAGUCUUCUGCUUUUGUUACAACAAGAUGUUGAUGUUAAGAAAAGAAAACCUUCUACUACUUUGAACAGCUCUACUUGAACAACAAUUUUUGUAGAAUCUAUAACCAGAUUUCAAACUAAUAUACGAAGGAGACUAACAGUACCUGAACACAGACUUCUGCAACAUCAGCUCUUGGGAUUGUCUUUGUGUCUGUCUGAAGAAGUUCGUCAUCCUUCCCUACAAUUAACUCCCUCACGCCCCCCUCUUUGUCAAGAAGCCCUCCAGGCCUAAAACAGAAGCAAAUAAAAAAACACUUGAUCACUUGAUAAGCAUUAGUUUAAAAGAGAAACCAGCAUUUUUCUGAUGAAUAGAAAGAAGGUUCAUGACAUCCAGAUGACCAUUGAAGUAGCAUUUAUUAAGGUUCCCCUACGUGACAAAAAUUUCUAAAAACUAAAGUACACAAAUGGGGGAUUAUGUAAGGCUAUAUGCAGCUCUUCAUGCAAAUCCACAAACUGGGAAUAGAACUACAGCUAAAAAAAUAAUAUUCAAUUCUGUCUAAAAAUUUGGCAUAUGUUGACAGUGUGCAGUAGUUCACUAGAGAGUUUGACAAGCAUGGCGUGGUAAGUGAAAACUACUGAAUUUCAGCGCAGCAAAGUAUCAUUCAUGUCAAGGAUUUUGAAGUCUGAAGUAAGUGAAAACUACUGAAUUUCAGUGUAGUAAAGUAUCAUUCAUGCUGAGGAUUUUGAAGUAUACUUCAGACUGAAACUGUGACACCCCUAUAUAAGAACCGAAGACUCUAAAAUUAAUAACUGAGUUUAAGCAUUUUGGGUAGAUUGUUUGGGCCCAACAAAUUAUUAAUACUAGUGGUCUGAGCCGUUACGGAAACAAGCCAUAGUUGUUGACAUAACUUGGAAGACGCUAACUAUUAGAUAAUAUCAUGCACAAAAAAAGAAAAAAAAUUAACCAAGUUGUACCUAAUAAUUGUAUAAGGUAUUCCUGAGUCUGCUAAGUACUGUUCCGCCUUUCGCUUCCAUACCUGCAAGAAAAGAGAUGCAUCAUCAUACAAGAAUUUGCCCUUUUAAGAGAUUUAUUUUAUGCCAUAUUGUUGAUUAAGAUUCUCUGACUUACUUGAAAAUAAAAACUCCCAUAAGAAUAUUCAUUUAAUUAGCGCAGCCAAUGCCAUUCUUUUAUGCCUCUAGUUAAGUGGAAAAUUACAGGAAAAAGAGUUUCACAAUCCGAAAAAUUCAAGAGGAAGUGAAAGGCAAAAUGGGAAUAGCUACAUCAUGUAAUCAACCAUAUAAAGAUAGAGAGGAAAAGGAAUGUGAAUAAGCUACUCACCAAUAUAUUGCCAUUCCCAAGGCUAUUCAAUGGAUGGUUAGGGUUUGUUCCUCCCAUCGAUCCAACCAAAACUAUAUGCUUCACCCCUGCAUUCUUGGCUGUAACAGAGAGGUAACUGCUUAACACAAGUUAACACGUAAUUGGAUCAAAAGCGACGCACAAAUUGAAGCAAAAAUAAGAAUUAAAAACCGAACCAGCAUCAAUCUGAUUCUUCUGCCCAAUCCAAUCAACCUAACAUUAAAAAAACCCGUAAAAUUAGCAUCACAGGAACAUCUAGGAAAAAAUUUAAUCGAAUCCAUGAAAUAUUCAACAGUUGAAUCCACCUGCUCAGGGUAUGAUCCAUCUUCGUAGUAGAACUCGGGCCUCCCACCUUUGCUAGGGUCGAAGUCGGGCUUCAUUUUGGGGACGGCGCUCGUGAGGAUUAUUAGGGCAUCGAUUCCUUGCACAGCGGGGGUUAUACGAUCCGCAUCCCUAAUAUCGGCCACGUAAACGUCGUCCCCUCCUCCGAUCUUCUCCUUGCUCUCUUCGGUGCGCACGAGGCCUCUCGCCACGAACCGAUCGGAUCUCUCCUUCAGUUUCCGGUACGCUAUCUGACCUAGAGGUAGAUCGGAGGGUCUAAGGAUGCGAUCGAGAUCUAGAGAUCGAGAGAGAGAGAGAAAGAGAGAGAGGACCUGUGCGGCCACCGGCGCCGGUGACGAGGACCGUACUACGAGGGGCAUCCGCCAUGGCCGUACGGAAGAGGGAGCUCUCUACGAAACUCUGCAGCUUCUUCUUCUUCGCGCGUGUGGUGGAAAGAAGAAGAGGAGUGGAGAAUUCUCCAGAAGGUCGCGCGGGGGAGUGGGGAGUGGACGAGAUCAUGCCAUGGGCGCGGAGGAGGAGGGAGAAGGACACGUGUCAGUAGUCGACUUCAGCAAGUCAUUUUGCCGACUUUAGUUCAAAAAGUUUAGAUAUCGGCAACGAAAACCAACCGCCGCAGACUUUCGUUAACCAUUUCCAACCAUUUGACUAGUUCCAUACUCCACCUAGUAAUUCGGCAGCGAGAAGGAAACUUUUGCCGACUUUAUUGUAUUGAGUAACAGAGUAGCUGAGAUGUCGGCGACGCUAAGCGAUAGGUUGCAGGCUUUUUCGACUAUAAUUUCCCGGAACACACUUCCUCCCUCGUCGUAAACCCUAGCUCGGAGUGACACCUCUCGGAGCUCCCCUCCUCCUCGGCGGCGGCGGCGGCGGCGGCGAUGAGCGGCGCAGGAUCGCCGGACUUCUUCUACCGCGAGGCCCAGCGUCUCGGCUACGUCGCCCGCUCCGCCUUCAAGGUUCUCUCUCUCUCUCUCUCUCUCUCUCUCUCUCUCUAGAUUUGGGUUUUCUCUCUUUUUAUAGACAUGAAUCGUCGCUUCUCUCGCAGCUUCUACAGAUUCAGAAGCAGUUCAAGUUGAUAACACCAGGGUCCUCCGUUCUCGACCUCGGUUGCGCUCCUGGAGCUUGGCUUCAGGUACCUCCUAUCCAUUUAAUAUCUGAUUUUAAGUGUAAUAAUCACAUAACCCUUGGAGUAGGGUUUGCAAUUUCACGUUAUGUCGGAACAAAAAGGUGAGAUUUUUAGCUAUGUUAUCUAUAGGUGGCGUGCCAAAACUUGGGUCCUAUCGAGAAGGGCGGGUCGGUUGUGGGUGUUGAUGUGAAGGUCAGUGUGAAUAUAUAUGAUACUAAAUUCGAUGAAAGAGAAUAGCAAAUUGCGUUUCAUAAUGAUUUGGUUGUUUUUGAUUUGAUUCUUUGUGUUGCAGAGCAGAGGGUGAAGGUUCCUUCUGCUCACUGCGACUCGAGAGUGAGAACUGUGUGUGCCGAUGUGAUGAGUCUACUGAAGGGGCAAGCGAGGGCGUUGUCUCCUCAGGUAUGAUCUUCGGAGGCCUAUUCUUUGGAUUAUGUUCUUUUAUUGUGGAAUUUUUCGGUUUAUUUGAAUUUUGUUUAUACACGCAUUGUUGCACAUUAGCUACUUAGCCAGUUUUUCAUGCAUCCAACAGGCAAUUUGUUAAAUGUUGUGUCAAUUUUCCUGUAUCGAUCGUCAAUAUAGAAUUUUAGAUGGUUCGUCAGAGUACAUUUAUUUAUUUAUGUGGUGAAGAACCAGAACUGAUCAUCAACAAAGAUGUUAUUUGCAAGCUUAUAUCUUUUUACAUUCAUUUGUUUUGGUCGGAAGAAAAAUGCUGUCUUUUCCUCUAUACUAUCUGAUUUGCAUUAAUUUGCGGUGUAGUUUUCUUUUAUCACCUUACUGUAGUUUAUCAAGAAAGCAUGCUUGAGACCUCAACAAUAGGAGAGUCGAGCCUUCAACUUAACACUUAGUAGAAGAUCUAUUAGCAUACAUCUACUCUGUUCUUCUUGGACUCCAAACACUAAGUUCUUAUUUACUCAACGGCACUUAUGUCGAAGGCCUAACGAGACCAAGUUGCUGCCUCUGAUUUACAAUGAUCCUUUUCUCUUCCAGGAAAGGGGCUUCUCUGUGAUACUAUCAGAUAUGUGUCCUGCAGUUUCAGGAAUCACAACAAAAGAUGCUGCUUUAUCGUGUGAAUUAGGGAUGCGAGCAAUCUCAUUGGCUGUCGGAAAACUAAAUACUCCCAAUUUAUCAGAUAACACUGUGGUAGAGAAGUUUCUAAGUAUCACGGAUCCUGAUCCAGACGAGGAUGGUGUUCUCCGACGCGGGGGAAACCUUGUGAUCAAGUUUCUAGAGAACGAGGAUGUGCAAGGUCAUUAUUAUCCCUUCUAAGGAGCACAUUUGAUUUCUUCUAUGAUUAUUUUGCCAAAGUGUCCACUUUUCUGCUUUAUUUGUUUUGUAACUUUGGACCAAAAUCAUUUCUUGUGAAUUAAAUGCCCCUAGCAGAAAAUCUUUGAUGCAUCAUUCAACACAAGGAGUGCUAGGGUUAUUUCAAUCCAUGAAGAAAUACCUUGUUUUCAAAAUAGCGGAAAAAAAUGAAAAAAAAAAGAGCCUGAAGACAAAAGCAGAUUGAUCAAAUCCCCUGUUUUCAGUUUCUGUACAUUGAACUGUAGCUAUAAUGUAUUGGGUUUCUUCUUAUUGGAAUGGCUGCAGGAUUUGGUAAACUUUGCAAAUUGAAGUUCAAGAAUGUAUCAUGGUUGAGGCCGAAGGCGACGAGAUCGUGCUCGAAAGAGAUUUAUCUGAUAUGCCAAGGUUUGCGGUAGAACCAAUUACUGUGAUUUAUUUAGAAAAUUUUGUUGUUUUAAGAUAAGAUAACUAGGAGUUCUCUACCAAAUGCACAAGUUCUGAUGGCCCUCGUAAGCAUCAAUUGAGCUUGAUAUCCCAGUGUUAUUUAUAUAAUUUGCUUAACAAUUUGCCAGAUUAAAAAAAAAAAAAACUGUUUAGAACUAAGAGGUAGGCUAGAAUACUUUUAGAAUCACUUCUCCGUCAUUUCCCGUGCGUUAAAUAAACAUUUUCUAGGAUAUUUGAAUUUUUCAUGUUUCAAAUUUCAUAAUUUUUCAAUAUUGUUGGUCCGAGUCUUCUAGUGGUCCAAAUAUUGAGAACUUUUAAUGGCAAAAAUUUAAGAUGAAUUUGAUAACUUUCGAUUACUAAAUAAAUGAUAUCGUAAAAUUUGGUUUUUAAAAAUUAUAAAUUGUGUCAAUCUUAUAGUUGGAAGCCACGUGGAAGUGAAGUGCUUUGUUUCUUGUAGAGUCGUGUUGCAUGUGUUUGUAUAGUCGUGGCCAUUGGUGAUGAAGAAUACAUAGUGAUGGGCCAAUACGUAGGUGGACCUGCUUUUUGACCCGGGUCAAUGAACCUAGUCCAAGUCCACUAACAUACAUGGGCCGGGCCCACCGUUCAGGGAAUCCCAUGCGCAUAACUCCACCAAUUGGUCGGUCUGUUGGGGCCCACCGCAUCUUCAUAUCCGCCGUACACGUGUCAGAGAGAGAGAGAGAGAGAGAGAGAGAGAUCUAAACCCAAAAGAGAGAAAAAUAUCUGUACUUAGCAGCGAAGAGAGCGUCGAAGAUGUCUAAGUCUUCGUCAAGUUCAACUAUUGUGGUCCCAGGAGGCAAGAGCUGGAGCCAACGCGAGGACCUCGAACCGAAGUCCAUGGAGGAUAGGUAAAUUAUAGACUAAAAUUCACAUUAUUAGUGUAUUGGGAACCUCAUCCCAAACGUUAAAGUGCAAUACAGCCUUGUUUUUCCACUCUAAAAAUCGAUACAAUAGAUAUCCACCGCACGGUUUUGAACCCAGGAUAGCUCUUCCCGCCCAGCCAACACCCACAACUACACUUCCAGUCACACUUAUAUAUACUAUGAUUUAAGCUACUUUCUCUUAUCGUUUAACGCAAAGUAUUACUAAACCAACAAAAACUAAACUAAGAAACACAACGUCUCGUCUCCCACUUCCAAGGAAGACGAGUGACGCUGAGCUCUCACUCUUGACACACACGGCUACACUACUCAGAUGACUUCCCCGUUCGCUCCCGCAACAGAGGAGUCCAUACUAGAAGCCUCCGGAUAAGAAACCUAAUACAAGAAAAUAACACCUUAAAAAGCCAAAUAAACUUAAAACAAAUAUGUGCGUAACAACGUGUAAUCGAUGAAUCGGUCAAAAAGUACGUAGGUUGUCCGUUAAACAAUUUACAACACAGUUAAAAGGACAUAGCUAGCAGUUAUAUCUUAAAAUCUACCAAGCAGUCUCAUGUAAAUAAAUAAAUACACCACUUCUUGGUCUUGACUAGUAGUUGUUUCUACAAUAAACGUUCGAAUAUAGAAAAAUGUAAGUAAACAAAACCAGCCUUCUUUUUACGACAGAAAAGGAGAUAUGAUAGACUAAACGUAAUUAAACGCCACAUCAAAAGAAAAUAGUGGAAUGACAUCAAAUAGUUCUUUCGUACGAACUCUGGAGUUGUUAUCCUCUCAGCUCGGAAGUUGAAUUGUGAAUCAUCUUCUAGAUAAUCGUAUGUAGAUGAGACAAGAAGAACCUGAGGUUUGUGAUUCAAGAAUAAAUGAGUUGCCGUGAAUACAGCUUCCGGAUUGCUCUGGUUCAACGACGGAGACUAAAUGUUACUAGGAAAAGAGAAGGUCCUUUCCCCGAAGAGACACUAUGAUAGUCUAUACACAGGACGUCAAAGUCCUUAGUGUUGUUUUCUACGACGAAAUAGCACACUUAAUCCCUACGCUCGUUAGAGUAACCGACAGCCUUUUGAUUUAUGAGGGUUAAAUAGUCUAUUGUGACACCAUCUCUUCAAAGAUUCAUAGUGCCUAGGACUAGGUCUGCUCCUACCACAAGAGGCUGCGCCCCCUUUGGAACACUAGUUCAAAGAUCUCUUGCUCCUACACGUUCCAGUAAUAAUAGGGAAGAUUCCUCGUGUAAACUAAAGAAGAUACUAAUAAAACGGUUUCACAGGUGAAAAGACGAAAUAAACAAAACAUUGAAACCUGGUUUUAGUAAAGAACACUUAAUUUACGGGGAUCGUCUUUUAGAAACUACGUAGUAAGUUGUGUUCCUCACGAUCCCAAUAAAGUUAGGUACUUCUUUAUGGAACAAAAGUUUUAUCGCCUUUUUUUACUUUUUUUUUUCUCGGACUUCUGUUUUCGUCUAACUAGUUUAGGGGACAAAAGUCAAAGACAUGUAACUUGACAUCGAUAUUACAUAACCCAAAGAAGAAUAACCUUACCGACGUCCUAAACCAUUUGAAACGUUUAACUUCAAGUUCUUACAUAGUACCAACUCCGGCUUCCGCUGCUCUAGCACGAGCUUUCUCUAAAUAGACUAUACGGUUCCAAACGCCAUCUUGGUUAAUGACACUAAAUAAAUCUUUUAAAACAACAAAAUUCUAUUCUAUUGAUCCUCAAGAGAUGGUUUACGUGUUCAAGACUACCGGGAGCAUUCGUAGUUAACUCGAACUAUAGGGUCACAAUAAAUAUAUUAAACGAAUUGUUAAACGGUCUAAUUUUUUUUUUUUUUGACAAAUCUUGAUUCUCCAUCCGAUCUUAUGAAAAUCUUAGUGAAGAGGCAGUAAAGGGCACGCAAUUUAUUUGUAAAAGAUCCUAUAAACUUAAAAAGUACAAAGUUUAAAGUAUUAAAAAGUUAUAACAACCAGGCUCAGAAGAUCACCAGGUUUAUAACUCUUGAAAAUUACCGUUUUUAAAUUCUACUUAAACUAUUGAAAGCUAAUGAUUUAUUUACUAUAGCAUUUUAAACCAAAAAUUUUUAAUAUUUAACACAGUUAGAAUAUCAACCUUCGGUGCACCUUCACUUCACGAAACAAAGAACAUCUCAGCACAACGUACACAAACAUAUCAGCACCGGUAACCACUACUUCUUAUGUAUCACUACCCGGUUAUGCAUCCACCUGGACGAAAAACUGGGCCCAGUUACUUGGAUCAGGUUCAGGUGAUUGUAUGUACCCGGCCCGGGUGGCAAGUCCCUUAGGGUACGCGUAUUGAGGUGGUUAACCAGCCAGACAACCCCGGGUGGCGUAGAAGUAUAGGCGGCAUGUGCACAGUAGAGAGGGGAGGUGGCUAAGGGAAGGGCGGUUGUUGGUGGGGUGGGCUCAGGGGCUGCGUUUUUUGGUUAGGUUUCUCCGUAUAUAUAUAUAUAUAAUAAUACACCAUUAAAAUACGCGGCUGGAGAGGUAAAGAUUUAUAAAUGUUUUUUUUUUUGGUGAGGAGACUUUAAAAAAAGAAAAAAAGAAAAAACUCCGCCUCAAAGUUUAGAGAGCCGGAGAAGGUGCGCCAAAGGGCGCGCGAGUGGCGGUUAAAAAGGGAUCGGUUGACGUACGGCGGUGCACCGCAAGGGUCGACCGAAGGUGGCGUGUUACGGGGGAGCACAAUACUAUGACGUGGACUUGGGCCAGAUACCCGGCCUGUUGUAAUAUUUUCGAGUUGGCUGAAUAAGAUAUAAUAAUAAAUGUUAUUAGCGAUUAUUGUAAAAAAUUUUUAUAAAUGACGUCUUUUUGGUUAACUUAAGUACAUUCGACGAAAAAAAAAAAAAAACCCGCGAUGGUACCUCGAAGUAAAUUACGGUUUUCUUUCCCAUAAAAGAUUAUAGAAUGAUUUAAUAUGAGUAACUUUUUGUUUUUUAUUAAGGUCAACUAUGUUCUUUGGAGUGUUAUCUCAUUAACUAAAUCUUGAUCAUGUAUUAUUCAGAAAAGAUUUAUUCGGUAUUAAACGUCUAACUAAAUUUUGUACUCUUAUAUAUAUAUAUAUCUCAACCGCUCAACUAGAUCCUAUGAAAAUGUUCAUAGUAGGAGUUCAACGAUAGUGGAAAAAUCGGUAAUCUAGUUUGUAAUAAAGUGGAUGGUGGUGGAUGGGGGUAGUAGAGUUGGAGGGUAGAGAGGUAGGUUCCCGAUCUUUGUGUGUUCGUAGUGAAUCCACUAUGAACAUUUUCAUAGGAUCUAGUAGAGAGAUAGAGAUAUAUAUAUAUAUACUCAACCUGACCCGAUGAUAAUCAUCGUUUUAGAGUAACAACGAUAGUCAAAAAAUCGGAAACCUAGUUGAGAAAAGUAAUAAAGAUUAGUAACCUAAUUUAUGAUAUUAAGUCACCCCUGGUGAGUUGAGAUACCCCUGGUGAGUUGAGAUUGACCGAUUAUAGUAAUACUGGGAUGUUAAAAAGUAGGUUCCCAAUUUUUAAACUAUUGUUUUUCUCGCAAAAUGAUAAUUAUCAUAAGGUUGGAUAUAUAUAUAUAUAUAUAUAUAUAUAUAUAUCCAACCUUAUGAUAAUUAUCAUUUUGCGAGAAAAACAAUAGUUUAAAAAUUGGGAACCUACUUUUUAACAUCCCAGUAUUACUAUAAUCGGUCAAUCUCAACUCACCAGGGGUAUCUCAACUCACCAGGGGUGACUUAAUAUCAUAAAUUAGGUUACUAAUCUUUAUUACUUUUCUCAACUAGGUUUCCGAUUUUUAGACUAUCGUUGUUACUCUAAAACGAUGAUUAUCAUCGGGUCAGGUUGAGUAUAUAUAUAUAUAUAUAUAUAUAUAUAUAUAUAUAUAUAUAUAUAUAUAUAAGAGUACAAAAUUUAGUUAGACGUUUAAUACCGAAUAAAUCUUUUCUGAAUAAUACAUGAUCAAGAUUUAGUUAAUGAGAUAACACUCCAAAGAACAUAGUUGACCUUAAUAAAAAACAAAAAGUUACUCAUAUUAAAUCAUUCUAUAAUCUUUUAUGGGAAAGAAAACCGUAAUUUACUUCGAGGUACCAUCUUUUUUUUUUUUUUUUUUUUUUUUUCGUCGAAUGUACUUAAGUUAACCAAAAAGACGUCAUUUAUAAAAAUUUUUUACAAUAAUCGCUAAUAACAUUUAUUAUUAUAUCUUAUUCAGCCAACUCGAAAAUAUUACAACAGGCCGGGUAUCUGGCCCAAGUCCACGUCAUAGUAUUGUGCUCCCCCGUAACACGCCACCUUCGGUCGACCCUUGCGGUGCACCGCCGUACGUCAACCGAUCCCUUUUUAACCGCCACUCGCGCGCCCUUUGGCGCACCUUCUCCGGCUCUCUAAACUUUGAGGCGGAGUUUUUUCUUUUUUUCUUUUUUUAAAGUCUCCUCACCAAAAAAAAAAACAUUUAUAAAUCUUUACCUCUCCAGCCGCGUAUUUUAAUGGUGUAUUAUUAUAUAUAUAUAUAUACGGAGAAACCUAACCAAAAAACGCAGCCCCUGAGCCCACCCCACCAACAACCGCCCUUCCCUUAGCCACCUCCCCUCUCUNNNNNNNNNNNNNNNNNNNNNNNNNCCCUGGAGACAGUUGAUGGGCUCCGAGAGUUCCGGAUGAGAGCCUUAGCUACAUUAACCAUUGUUUAAUGGAGGAGGACUGUUGCAGGACAGAAAUUUGAGCGGUACCCCGAGCUACCGGCCCUUCUGCUGCUGCGGACGGGAAGCCAUUCCUUAGAUCCUCAGUGAGGAAAAACGCACUUUCCCGGAAAAUCGACAACCCAUACGUAGUAGCUACUCGUUAGUGGUAGUGUGGUUAGUGCAUGAUUAAUUUGUGGAGAUUUUAGAGAAUACGAUCCCCCUGUGAUUCAAUUGAGCAUUUUGAACAAGAAGUUUGCCAUCUUUAUAUCGGAUCAAUUCCUCCCAUUUAUUUCUAGUCCGCGAACAACUCUGGGGGUAUGUCAGAGGAAUGGAAGAUCUUAUUUUCAACGAACCAGCCCAGUGGAGUUUCCUCCUGUGAUUUAAGUCCGGUGAUUGAUUUUGAGCAAGUGGCUUCUCUUUGAGGCUCAGAAGGUGACCGCAAAGACAUUCAGUUUAAUGUCGAGAAGAAGAGUAUCGAGAUCGUUAGGGGCACAAGAAAACGCGCACAUGAAUGAUUUGAUUUGAAGGAAGAAAGAGCAAAUAAGCACAACGGCCGUAGACGCUUGGAAGGUCUUUCAUCAGAUUGUGUUAUGAGGAGUCGUUACUAUUAAUAGUGGAGACUUGCCCUUUUCUUAGUGCGCACAAUGAGAUGAGAAGAUGUCACGGAGUUCAUUCAUUCUAGGCGAAUGUGGUAUACGAAGAGGCCGGCGGAGUAAGCAACCGAAGGGGAUGGUGAUGCUUCUUUAUUUCAACUUUAAUUCACUGCGCUCAGCCGUGCUGCUGAUGACCGUCAGAGCGUGAACUGACGACUGUUGAAGCAAUUAGACACACAGUUUCGUCGGCCCCGUGGAGAUGCAAACCAGAGGUGUGGCUCCACUGCUUUUCGCCGGGCUCGAGGCGCGCCUCUGCCGGACAUGCGAUGUGAUGUGACGGUUCCUUGCAAUGAAACAAAUUCCUUGUGUCGAUAUGCUGAAGGCUACAGCUCCUUUCAUGGGGCAUGCCCUUUUUAAGAGCGGCUUCUAGUUUCUUCGAAUCAUACAAUUCUUGAGGCUUCUAAAGCGAUGCAAGAGUGAGUUCCAUAUUUGAUAGACUAUGGCAUAUUUCUACGGGUUCCAAUGGGCCGAUUGCUUGAUUCAGGAAGAGCUCUCGAGGAUCGACCAGGCGGGUCCUCCGAAGGAUACGGAUAACAGCGUAUUGAUUUGCCCCCCACAACAGGUUUUCGCGCCGACUGAGCGGAUAGAGGACACAGGACGGACGGUUAGACUGAUUAUGCACGGAGAUUCAACGUUCCUUUGAGUUCAUGCCAUUGCAGCAACUGGCAGGAAGGACUUAAGGGUUGAAGGAUGUUGUAUUGAGAAGGACGACACCUUCUUUGUCGUUUACUGCUCUACCGUUUUUAGGAUCUAAUGGAUGAGUCAGUAGUAGCCUGAUAGCCAAGAGAUAGGUCCUACGCACGAUCAGGAAAUGAAAUCCAGAUGUAUUCAUUACGGGCGUUGUGAAUGGGACGCAUAGCGCGCUUCUUCCUACACGCUUCCGCGGAAGCACUUUUCUAUUCAUACAAUAUUUGAUAUGCAUCGAAGCUACAUCCACGAGAGACCCACACAGGAUGCUUAUCGAGAGUCUGAUCUAUGGGCAGGAGGCAUCAAGUAAUCUUCUUGCGAAGGGACUAACAAGGGUGGAGAGGCGCGAAACUUAUAGGAAGUAGGACCUCGAAGAAACAAUUAGGGCGGUUUUUAGGCAGUUUUCUUGAACGCUGAGUUUAGUGAGAAGGGGGUGAGCGAACAUGGGUGCGAAGCUGCAUCUACCACAAGGACUUUGUUCCGUCGAUGAGGGUAGUAAAUUGGUUGCCUGCCUUGGUUGAAGCGGCGGCAUGUCAAUGCCCUCUCUACAUGGAACCAUAAUCGGUCCCUAAUAUUUCGCCUAUAUUAACUGCUGUAAUAUUGCGCUUUUUGUUUUAUUUACACUCAUCUGAAGAAUUUCUGUUGCAGAUAACCGUGAUCAUCUCCAUUGAUGUUAGCUGGCCUUCGUUGUUUUACAUGGUUGAAUUUCUCUUGUUUAUCAUUUGCUUUUGAACACCUAUGCAAUAUUGGUAUAUAAUAUAGGAUAAGAAAUUGGACUUUAUCUGAUUUAACCACAAUGGUAGAGAGUUGGUAAUUAAUAGAAUUUUCCUUUUUGGUUUUUCCUUUUUAUUUUGGUUUUUUAGGAAUAAAAUUUGGGUCAUACAGAAACGAAAAUUCUUUGUCAGUUUUUGCACAGGGCCCAAAGUAAUUCGGUGAUAUAAUACAAGGCUUAGCGAGAGGAAAGGACGUGUGGCUUAUAACCUAGGUUUAAGCUUUUAGCAAUGCUUUGAUUACCUCGUAAUGGGACAGCGCCUCUAUGGCGUUGAGAUGUGGAACUAACCAGCAUGGCACUAUCUGCCUGAUUGCGAAAACACACCAGAAAGAAAAAUUUAAGAUGCUGAUAUAUAAUAUUUAAAGUUUUUUUCUCGUUUGCCAGUGGAACACUUAAGUGAAACAGACUAAUGAAAAAAUGUGUUCUUCUUUGAAAUCUUCGUAUUAAGCACUUCGUUCCUGUCCAGAGAGAGUUCUCGAAAACACUAUUCGAACGCGAGAUGUUCGAAGAAACAACUUUCUCAUGUAAAUUACUUCAACGAACUUCCCAGUGAAGUCCAAAAUAAAAACAGUUAUUUGCUGACUCCAAAGUUCAUUUCAGCUUCACAGAAGCAACGGAUCUUUCAUUGCCCUACAAUACUAACCGCUGCUUCUCAAAGAACAUAGGCAAUGAAACACACUAGCUAUAAAACGACCAUAAACAACCAUAGGCAAUUGAAAUAUUAGGUAUGGUUAGCAUUCAAUAAUCACUUUUAAUCCCUCUCCAUAUUAGUAGGUAAGUAAUCUGGCUGGCGUUCAUCAGAUUAAAACUACAGUAAUGACAAACUUUAUGCAAUUGAGUAACCGAUGUACGCAUAAUUAAAGGGCCUAAAUCAGGAAUCGAGUGUGAUCUGGAGAAGAGCGCCUUGAAGUCCUUGUCAGCUGUACCAAAACCUCCGGGCUUUUGCGCAGGUCGAAUGCCUUGAACUUGCUUCCGUACAAAUUGCGGGGCUGUCUACAAUCAAAGUCAAAACAAGACAAGACGCUAAUAUUCAGGCCUGUACACAAUUAGAACAUGUCUGCUGUCUGAGCCAUGCUAUAUGUGAAACAGAUCUAGGCCGACAAGCAGUCCAACUAUGGCAUAAGUGAACUGUCCAGAACUUUGCACUGCAGGGCGCACAGUCAGAAGUGAUUGCAGGCCCCGAAGCAGAUAGAUCGAUUCGAGUGCUUUGCUUUUGUUACAACAAGAUUUCGAUGUUAGCAAGAAACUUGCUACUACUUUACAAGCUUCUACUUGAUACAAACAGAUUUUUGUUAAAGAAUCUAUAACCAAUUCAAAACUAAUAUAAUCGAAGACUAACAGACCUGAACACAGACUUCUGCAACAUCAGCUCAUUGGCGAUUGCUCUUGUGUCGUCUGAAGGAAUUCGCAUCCUUCCCUACAAAAUAACUCCCUCACGCCCCCGCUCUUGUCAGUAAGCCCCCAGGCCUAAACAAAGAGCAAAUAAAAAAAACACUUGAUCACUUGAUAAGCAUUAGUUUAAAAGAGAAACCAGAUUUUUCUGAUGAAAAAAAGAAGGUUCAUGGACAUCCCAGAUACAUUGCAAGUUAGCAUUUUUAAGGUUCCCCUAACGUGACCAAAUUUCUAAAAACUAAAUACACAAUGGGGAUUAUGGAAGGCCUAUAGUGCAGCAUCUUCAUGCAAAGUCCAAAACUGGAAUUAAAUAGCAGCUAAAAAAACUAAUAUUCCAAUUCUGUCUAAAAAUUUGGCAUAUGUUGACAGUGUGCAGUAGUUCACUAGAGAGUUUGACAAAGCAUGGCGUGGUAAGUGAAAACUACUGAAUUUCAGCGCAGCAAAGUAUCAUUCAUGUCAAGGAUUUUGAAGGUCUGAGUAGUGAAAACUACUGAAUUUCAGUGUAGUAAAGUAUCAUUCAUGCUGAGGAUUUUGAAGUAUACUUCAGACUGAAACUGUGACACCCCUAUAUAAGAACCGAAGACUCUAAAAUUAAUAAACUGAGUUUAAGCAUUUUGGGUAGAUUGUUUUGCCCAACAAAUUAUUAAUUACUAGGUGUCUGAGCCGUUACGGAAACACAACCAUAGUUGUUGACAUAACUUGGAAGACGCUAACUAUUAGAUAAUAUAUCGCACAAAAAAAGAAAAAAAAUUAACCAGUUGUACCUAAUUAAUUGUAUAAAGGUAUUCCUGAGUCUGCUAAGUACUGUUCCGCCUUUCCUUCCAUACCUGCAAGAAAAGAGAUGCAUCAUCAUACAAGAAUUUGCCCUUUUAAGAGAUUUAUUUUAUGCCCAUUUGUUGAUUAAAGAUUCUCUGACUUACUUGAAAAAUAAAACUACCAUAAGAGAAUAUUCAUUUAAUUAGCGCAGCCAAUGCCAUUCUUUUAUGCCUCUAGUUAAGUGGAAAUUACAGGAAAAAAGAGUUUCACAAUCCGAAAAAUUCAAGAGGAAGUUGAAAGCAAAUUGGAAUAGCCUACAUCAUGUAAUCAACCAUAUAAAGAUAGAGAGGAAAAGGAAUGUGAAUAGAAGCUACACCAAUAUAUUGCCAUUCCAAGAGCUAUUCAAUGGAUGGUUAGGGUUUGUUCUCCCAUCGAUCCAACCAAAAACUAUAUGCUUCCCCCUGCAUUCUUGGCUGUAACAGAGAGGUAACUGCUUAAACACAAGUUAAUCAACGUUAUUGGAUCAAAAGCGACGCACAAAUUGAAGCAAAAAAUAAAAUUAAAAAACCGAACCAGCAUCAAUUCUGAUUCUUCUGCCCAAUCAAUCAAAUACCUAACAUAAAAAACACCCGUAAAAUUAGCACAUCACAGGAACAUCUAGGAAAAAAUUUAAUCGAAUCCAUGAAAUAUUCAACAGUUGAAUCCACCUGCUCAGGUAUGAUCCAUUUUUCGUAGUAGAACUCGGGCCUCCCACCUUUGUAGCGGGUCGAAGUCGGCUUCAUUUUGGGGACGGCGCUCGUGAGGAUUAUUAGGGCAUCGAUUCCUUGCACAGCGGGGGUUUAUACGAUCCGCAUCCCUAAUAUCGGCCACGUAAACGUCGUCCGCCCUUCCGAUCUUCUCCUUGCUCUCUUCGGUGCGCACGAGGCCUCUCGCCACGAAACGAUCGCGAUCUCUCUUUCAGUUUCCGGUACGCUAUCUGACCUAGAGGUAGAUCGGAGCGUGAUUUCGAGAAUCGAGACGAGAGAGAGAGAAAGAGAGAGAGGACCUGUGCGCGGCACCGGCGCCGGUGACGAGGACCGUACUACGAGGGCAUCCGCCAUGGCCGUACGAAGAGGGAGCUCUCUACGAAACUUGCACGCUUCUUCUUCUUCGCGCGUGUGGUGGAAAGAAGAAGAGGAUGGAGAUUCUCCAGAAGGUCGCGCGGGAGUGGGGAGUGGACGACGAGAUGCAGCCAUGGCGCGGAGGAGGAGAGAGAAGGACACGUGUCAGUAGUCGACUUCAGCAAGUCAUUUUGCCGACUUUAGUUCAAAAAGUUUAGAUAUCGAACGAAAACAACCGCCGCGACUUUCGUUAACCAUUUCCAACCAUUUGACUAGUUUCCAUACUCCACCUAGUAAUUCGCAGCGAGGAGGAAACUUUUGCGACUUAUUGUAUUGAGUAACAGAGUAGCUGAGUGUCGGCGACGCUAAGCGAUAGGUUGCAGGCUUUUUUGACUAUAAGUUUCCGGAACACACUUCCUCCCUCGUCGUAAAACCCUAGCUCGGAUGACACCUCUUCGAGUCCCCUCCUCCUCGGCGGCGGCGCGGCGGCGGCGAUGAGCGGCGCAGAUCGCCGGACUUCUUCUAACCGAGAGGCCCGCGUCUCGGCUACGUCGCCGCUCCGCCUUCAAGGUUCUCUCUCUCUCUCUCUCUCUUCUCUCUCUCUCUCUCUCUAGAUUUGGUUUUCCUCUUUUUAUAGACAUGAAAUCGUCGCCUUCUCUCGCAGCUUCUACAGAUCAGAAGCAGUUCAAGUUGAUAACACGCCAGGUCGUCCUCCGUUCUCGACCUCGGUUGCGUCCUGGAGCUUGGCUUCAGGUACCUCCUAUCCAUUUAAUAUCUGAUUUUAAGGUGUAAUAUCACAUAACCUUGGAGUAGGGUUUGCAAUUUCACGUUAUGUCGGAACAAAAAGGUGAGAUUGUUUAGCUAUGUUAUCAUAUAGGUGGCGUGCAAAACUUGGGUCCUAGUCGAAGAGCGGGUCGGUUGUGUGGGUGUUGAUAGUUGAAGGUCAGUGUGAAUAUAUAUGAUACUAAAUUCGAUGAAAGAGAAUAGCAAAUUGCGUUUCAUAAUGAUUUGGUUGUUUUUGAUUUGAUUCUUUGUUGUUGCAGAGCCGAGGGUGAAGGUUUUGCUGUCACUGCCGACUCGAGAGUGAGAACUGUGGUGUGCCGAUGUGAUGAGUCUACUGAAGGGCAAGCAGAGGCGUUGUCUCCUCAGGUAUGAUCUUCGGAGGCCUAUUCUUUGGAUUAUGUCUCUUUAUUGUGGAAUUUUUUCGGGUUUAUUUGUGAAUUUUGUUUAUACACGCAUUGUUGCACAUUAGCACUUAGCCAGUUUUUCAUGCAUCCAACAGGCAAUUUGUUAAAUGUUGUGUCAAUUUUCCUGUAUCGAUCGUCAUAUAGGAAUUUUAGAUGGUUCGUAGAGUACAUUUAAUUUAUUUAUUGGUGAAGAACCAGAACUGAUCAUCAACCAAAGAUGUUAUUUGCAAGCUUAUAUCUUUUACAUUCAUUUGUUUUGGUCGGAAGAAAAAUGCUGUCUUUCCUCGUAUACUAUCUGAUUUUGCAUUAAUUUGCGGUGUAGUUUCUUUUAUCACCAUACUGUAGUUUAUCAUAGAAAGCAUGCUUGAGACCUCAACAAUAGGAGAGUCGAGCUUCAACUUAACACUUAGUAGAAGACUAUUAGCAUACAUCUACUCUGCUUUCUUCUUGGACUCCAAAACACUAAGUUCUUAUUUACUCAAACGGCAUACUAUGAUCGAAGGCCUAACGAGACCAAGUUGCUGCCUCUGAUUUACAAUGAAUCCUUUUCUCUUCCAGGAAAGGGGCUCUCUCUGUGAUACUAUCAGAUAGUGUCCUGCAGUUUCAGGAAUCACAACAAAAGAUGUUGCUUUAUCGUGUGAAUUAGGGAUGCGUAGCAAUCUCAUUGGCUGUCGAAAACUAAAUACUCCCAAUUUAUCAGAUAACACUGUGUAGAGAAGUUUCUAAGUAUCACGGAUCCUAUUCAGACGAGAGGUGGUGUUCUCCGACGCGGGGGAAACCUUGUGAUUCAAGUUUCUAGAGAACGAGGAUGUGCAAGGUCAUUAUUAUUCGCCUUCUAAGGAGCACAUUUUGAUUUCUUCUAUGAUUAUUUUGCCAAAGUGUCCACUUUUCUGCUUUAUUUGUUUUGUAACUUUGGACCAAAAUCAUUUCUUGUGAAUUAAAUGCCCCUAGCAGAAAAUCUUUGAUGCCCAUAUUCAACACAAGGGAGUGCCUAGGGUUAUUUUCAAUCCAUUGAAGAAAAUACCUUGUUUCAAAAUGAGCGGAAAAAAAUGAAAAAAAAGAGCCCUGAAGACAAAAGCAGAUGAUCCAAUCCCCCUGUUUUCAGUUUCUGUACAUGAACUGUAGCUAUAAUGUAUUGGGUUUCUUCUUAUUGGAAUGGCUGCAGGAUUUGGUAAACUUGCAAUUGAAGUUUCAAGAAUGUAUCAUGUUGAGGCGAAGGCCGACGAGAUCGUGCUCGAAGAGAUUUAUCUGAUAUGCCAAGGUUUGCGGUAGAACCAAUUACUGUGAUUUAUUAGAAUUUUGUUGUUUUAAGAUAAGAUAACUAGGAGUUCUCUACCAAAUGCACAAGUUCUGAUGGCCCUCGUAAGCAUCAUUGUUGAGCUCUGAUAUCCAGUGUUUUUAUUUAUAUAUUUGGCUUAACAAUUUGCCAGAUUAAAAAAAAAAAACUGUUUAGAGCUAAGGGAGGUAGGUCUAGAAUACUUUAGAAUCACUUCUCCGUCAUUUCCCGUGCUUAAAUAAACAUUUUCUAGUGAUAUUUGAGAUUUUUCAUGUUUCAAAUUUCAUAUAUUUUCUCAUAUUGUUGGUCGAGUCUUCUAGUGGUCCAAAUAUUGAGAACUUUUAAUGGCAAAAAUUUAAGAUGAAUUUGAUAACUUUCGAUUACUAAAUAAAUGAUAUCGUAAAUUUGGUUUUAAAAAUUAUAAAUUGUGUCAAUCUUAUAGUGGAAGCCACGUGGAAGUGAAGUGCUUUGUUUCUUGUAGAGUCGUGUUGCAUGUGUUGUGUAUAGUCGUGCCAUUGGUGAUGAAGAAUACAUAGUGAUGGGCCAAUACGUAGGUGGACCUGCUUUUUGACCCGGCGUCAAUGAACCUAGUCCAAGUCCACUAACAUACAUGAGGCGGGCACCACGUUCAGGGAAUCCCAUGCGCAUAACUCCACCAAUUGGUCGGCUCUGUUGGGGCCCACCGGCACUUCAUAUCCGCCGUACACUGUCACUCUCCCCUCCACCGAUUCCCUUCCGCCAAAACCACCCCACCCGAGUCCCCGACGCAAAAACACCAAUCCAAAGAGGCAUAUAUAUAUAUAUAUUUAUAUGUGGUAAUUUUAUGCGCCGACCUCUCCAUUUCUAAAAUAUUUACAAAAAAAAAACCACUCCUCUGAAUUUUUUCUUUUUUUUUCUUUUUUUGAGCGGAGUUUUCAAAUCUCUCGGCCUCUUCCACGCGGUUUCCCCGCGCUCACGCAUUUUUUCCCUAGCCAACUGCAUGCGCCACGUGGCGUUCCCAGUGGCUUCCACGCACAAUGCCCUCGUGUUAUGAUACUGCACCUGAACCCGGUCUAUCGGGCCGGACAACAUUAUAAAAGCUCAACGACUUAUUCUAUAUUUUAAUUACAAUAUCGCGUAAUAACAUUUUUUAAAAAUAUUUACUGCGAAAACCAAUUGAAUUCAUGUAAGCUGCUUUUUUUGUUUUUUUUUUUUUGGGCGCUACCAUGGAGCUUCAUUUAAUGCCAAAAAGAAAGGCGUAUUUUCUAAUUAUCUUACUAAAUUAUACUCAUUGAAAACAAAAAUAAUUCCAGUUGAUACAAGAACUCACAAUAGAGUAAUUGAUUUAAGAACUAGUACAUAAUAAGUCUUUCUUAAAAAGCCAUAAUUUGCAGAUUGAUUUAAAACAUGAGAUAUAUAUAUAUAUAUAUAUAUAUACUAUAUAUUAUUAUAUAUGAGUUGGACUGGCUACUAUUAGUAGCAAAAUCUCCAUUGUUGCUAUCAGAUUUUAGCCUUUGGAUCAACUCUUUUCAUUAUUUUCUAAUCAUUGAUUAAAUACUAUAAUUCAGUUGGAGACCACUCAACUCUAUGGACCACUCAACUCUAAAAACUGGCUAUAUCAUUAUGACCGUACAAUUUUUCAUCCAAGGGGUUAAAAAAUUGAUAAAAAGAGCGUUUUACUAUUAAUAGUAUUCCAACCUAUAUAUAUAUUAUAUAUAUAUAUUAUAUAUUAUAUAGGGUUUCUCUUGCCGGCAUCAAACUAAAAUGGGGGGUCAAAAUAUAUAUUAUAUAUAUAAAAUUGAGUUCUAUACUUUUAAAACUACCAAAUUCUGCUUAUAAAUUUUUAAUUUUUAGAUAAAAAUUUAUAAAUUGGAAUAAUAAUAGCCUCUCUCUGUAUAUUAUAUAUAUAUAUAUAUAUAUAUAUAUAUAUAAUAUAUAUAUAUAUAUAGAGGCUUUUCUUGUAACAUCAAACUAAAAUGAGUGGGCCAAAAUAUAUAACUAGAGAAGAGCUAUUACUAAAAUUUUGCGCAUAUAACCCUUAUAAAAGACACACAGGUGUCCCAAUUUUGUACGGUGUGUUCGUUGUUUCCAAAUCUGAUCGUGCUAGGAGCAAGGAUGACGUGGCAGACACUUGAUGUCUCGUAGCUUCCACGGUAGGCUACACAGCUCCGUAUUUAUACCCCUCUCGAUCCUUCUCGUCCCAAUUCCCUCCCAUCCCUCUUUUCGAAAUCUGAGAGAGAGAGAGAGAGAGAGAUUUAGAGAGAUUGCGAGAGAGAGAGAGAGGGAGAGCAAUGGAGAGACCAGAGAUAGAGAUGGAGGAGAUGGAGGAGGUGGAGGGGUGGGAGACGCCGAAGAGGGCGGAGUGCCGGAUCCCGGCGGUGCUCCCCUGCCCGCCGCCGCCGGCGAGGAAGAGGGCGUCGGCGGUGGGGGUGGGGCGGCGGAGGGAUCCGCCGAAGAACGGAUACUUCCACCCGCCGGAUCUCGAGGCGCUCUUCGCUGCGGCGCCGCCGCGGAGAGAGGCGUGCGCUUGAUCCGCUCCACCACCACCACCGCGAAAACCGGCGCAUACUCAUGUACGUAUAUACACACGGUGAGAACCUUCCUUGUAGAUGUAUAGAAGUACUUCAUGCUGUUGUAGGAUUACGAACACGGAUGAUUAGGGAUCAGAUAGAUUAGUUAAGGGUUUUUUUUAGGGUUUUGGGGCGACCGGGGGGGAGCACUUAACUACCACCGCUCUAUCUCUUUUGGCCUAACUCAUGUAAUAUCUCAAUCUUUGACGCAAAUGGGGAAUGCCGUGUUAAUUGGUAGCUUUGUUUUUAUUCCCUUGUUUGAUUUUUUUUAUUAUUUUCUGUUGAAUCUCGUUUCCGGUGGCUACACAUCCUUGUUUUUUUUUUUUUUUUUUUAGAAAAAAAAAAUAAAAUCAAGUUUAAACCGAGUAAUGGGAGAAGGAACCUCUUGUUGUUUUCAAACUAAGCGAAGCACUCGAUUAUUUGCUUUGGAAUGGGGGGGGGGUGUGUGUGAGAAAGAGGUUGAUUCCAUUUCCGUCGUUAUCGUGACGUCAGCAAUACGCUCAUCAAGCAGAGGAAUCGCGCUGCUUCUACUCGAACUUUAAUGUAUUUAUAUUUAUUUAUGUAAAAUUUUUAAAUUAUGCGUGUACUUGAAAAAGCAACGCACGAGGCAACAGUAGUUUUUUAGUAUACUUUUUGCCAAUCAAAUGUUGCGUAUUAGAAUGUACAUCAAUUGCAUCUCAGCACAUUAAUGAUUUUUCGAAUCUCAUUUCGAGUGAAACUUUAUAUAGACUUUUGCACGAUAGCAAAGUUGUGUGUAAAUGAAUUACUAAGCCUUAUCACCUGGAGUGACAUCACUCGAGCACCAUCUCCGAAGCUACAAUUAUCUCUUAUUUUUGACAUCUAUCUAUCAACUAUUACACUAGAAAGAGAAUUACAAAUACAAUUACAUAUAAAUGGAAGNAAAAAAAAAAAAAAAAACAUCCGGCUUCGCCGAACACCCAGGCCAGUGCAUAAGGAAAGUUAGAAAGUUAACGGCGGAAACUGAAAAAAAAAAGAAGCAAAUCUAAAAUGUUUGUGCUUUUCAUGCUCUGAAAGUGACUCUACAAGAUGAAUGCGUAACUUCACAAGUAGAGGAUACUCUUUUCCUCUGAUUCGCAGUGCAUCACUGAUGAGGAAAUGCUCCUCAAGCCAUAGCAUUACAGUCCCAGUUCCUUCUUCAGUUGAGCAAGAGCAGCUUCAAUCUCAUCGAUGCUAUCCUCAAUGCUGCUCCUCUUGCUUCCUUCCUGUUGAGAAUUAUCGCUUCCGCUCUCCUCCUCAGGCUUGGUGAACCGUUUUUCCUUAAAAUACCCGUCACCGCUGCUCUCUUCUGCGAAACUCGAGUCGCUGAUGUUGAGCUCCUUCUCAAGAAAUUCGACAAACUCCUCGCCAAUAUCCUAAAGUGAGAAAGCAAAUUCUACUUUGAGAAUACAUGUGUUGUUGAAUAAUGUCAAUUUGUCCCUCUUUACAUUGUGGUAUAAUUCCCCUCCUCAAGUUUUAAAUCCCACACUUUAUCUACCCCAUUGGCCUACAGCAAAGAAAAUAGAUAUUGCAGAUCAAAGCUUAAGAGGUAAUAUAAGGUUUCCUGUAAUUUAGCUAGUGUUUUUUUCGCCCAAAUUAGUUAGGUAAAAAGAAAAAUUAACACAAGUUUUCUGAUUAAGCAAAUAAUACUUUUAACAAAAUUACUAACUUACAGCCAACUCUUCCCACAGGCUUUUGGGUUUCUCUUGUGAAUUUAUGUCCGCUUCCCAGUUCUGAAAUUCUGCUUGUAGAUCUCGAAAGAAGUCCGCUGAAACAUCAAACAUUUUAUUGCUUCAAUACAUUAAAAAAAAAAAAAAAGGAGCCUCGCGGACUUAAGAUUAUGGAGAAAAAAGCUGUUGGCCUUAUAGUUUCCCUCAGGAGAGCCAAUGCUACCUAUUGAUAUCUGAAUAUCCCUCAAAAAAUUACCUGCAGAAUAAAUGGGUUAUAUAAGGACUUUAAAAGGUGCUUCGUGAAUGAUUUAUCCGACAAAUUAGAUUAGUUAGUAAUUAAACUUUCAUUGCUUGAUGACAAAAUCACAGAAAAGGUUGAAGUAGUCACCUACUAUAUAAACUAUCAUAUAAUAACAUCAUUACUUUCUCUAUGUUCGAAUACAUUCCUGCAGAUUCUGAAUUUUCAUACGCGGCCUUCAAAUACUCACAGAAAAAGCCUCUCUAUGAAAAAUAUUUUGAAAUAACAUGCGUUGGAUGACUCUCUAAGUUAAGAUAACGAGUUUUGUCAUAAAAAAUAUGCGGAACACCAACUUGUGCAAAUGGGGAUAGGUAAAUCAAUACUUUUGUAGAGAUAAAUAAGUAAACCGCUUUUUUAACUUCAAAUAUAAAAUUUCAGAAAGGCAAGAUCUGUACCAAGUCCGUAGAAUUCCUCCUCCAGCACACUUGAUUUGUUCUUUUCAGCGUUUCUUGAAAAAUCCGCGCCAUUAUUUGCGAACUUGGAUCGUGAUCCCGAAUUUGUUAGAGUAUUAUAUGCGUGCUUGAUUCGCAUGAAUUUUUCUUGAGCAUUUGGCUAUGGAAAAACGAACAGAAGCAAUGAACAAAAGCAAACAAGUAUAACAACCAAGAGAACAUCUUUUUAGUAACGUAUUAUCUCCAUAAGAUCGAAAGUAAAAGAAUAAAAAUAAAAAUAGAGAACCCAAUUAAAUGCAAAACUGUAGACUUGUAAAAGUAGUGCAACUGUAGUAGAGUAAGGAUGUGUUACAUCUUAGUUGUGUUUAUAAAAUUAUGCCCAAAACUUGAUGUGUUACAUCCUUUUUUUAUUAACGUAUUGUCUCUUUUUGGCUUUCCUCUAUAAUAAAUACUUCAUGGGAAAUAUUUCUCUGCCUUAAAAAGAGUAAUUUUGCACUGUAGUAGAGUAAGGAUGUGUUACAUCUUGAUUGUUUAUAAAAUUAUGCCCAGAAGUAGUUGGAAUGCAUAAAUUUCACAAAUUCUAAGGCAACUAAUCAACAAACUCGUCCAGAAAUAAGCAUUCAAACUCCAAAUGAUCAUCUCAAACAAGUGAAAAAAAAGGAUCAAAUCAGGAGGGUUGAUCAUUGGGAAAAAAAAAAAACUUCGGGUUUACCUCCUUGUUGACAUCAGGAUGGUAUUUGAGGGCGAGUUUUCGAUAAGCGCUCUUAAUCUCCUGGAGACUCGCGGAGGGCGACACACCCAACACCUCGUACGGAGUCUCCCGGCGACUCGCCCGCGGCUGCGCGGCUGCGGCGGCGCCGCCCCUCCUCCGCCGCCGCCGCGACUCCUCCACCCUCGUCACCGCCUCGCGGCCCCACCACGCUAGGGUUCCCCGGCGCGCGGAGAAGAAGGGGGCGGCGGAGGGGAUCUGGGGGAGGAGGCGGGGACAGAGAGAGGGCGCGGGCGCGGAGGGGAGGAGUAGGGUUAGGGUUAAGGAGGGGGAGUGGUGGUGGCGGUGGUGGUGGUGAUGGGGAACGGAGAGGAAGGAGGAGGAGGCGCCAUUCAUAUCGUUCGUUAUAAUUCGGAGCGGCUCAUCCUCGCAAUGGAUGAGCCACGCGAGCGAGUGAAAUGUGGUUGUUAUGUGGUGUAGUACUGUAGUGUGCUCUAGAAGCAACAUUUUGCUCUAUCUUAUAUGACCAAAUUAUCUUGUCCUUCGAUGACACAGAGCGUGGAGCGCAUAAAAGCGUAGCAUCUAUGAUAAGUUUCUUUUUCACUAGUUUCUCAUCAGGAGAAACUCUAGAAACUCUUCCCUGUAAUAAUCCAACAAUCAAACAUACACAUCCCUAAAUAAAAUUUAACAGAACAAAAAAAAAUCUGUACUUAUCAAAUUUGAAGUACCAAACUUUUAAAGGAUCGAACUCCGGCGCGACAACAGAGUGUUUAACAUCACGACAUCCAUUUCAAAAUGGAACACCCAACAGCCGGCUGCAGUAGCUUAUGACUAGACUCCAAACAAUUUGACGAAAAAAAAAAAAAAAGGCUGAAAUUUUGUCAUCCAUCAGCAGAUCACCUGCUUGCUGAAAUUAUACCUAAGCAUUCGUAUGUAAAAAAAAUUAGCUGUUUCACGGAUUUUCUAAAAAGGUAAGGUGAAGGAUCUUACCUAUAGUUAGAAAUUGCCGAAUAAGAAAUUUAGUCACAAUAUUUGCUACUCGAAGAUGCUUUCGUAGACCAAAAACUCAUUUUUAACUUCCCCCGACCACUCUUAUUUGAGAAGGGUAGGGAGAGCUCGAGAAACUUCAAACAGGGCACAACACAGUUCAAAGUACAAUAUUAGUAAAAAGUGGAACUGCACCUAACUACCAUAUUUAUCCAUAUAGAUACAACUGAUUUGCCUCACAGCAAUCUCCUUUUCUCCCACUGAUGGAUAUAGUUCUAGGAGCCAGAGUUCCCACCAUUAUUAGCAGGGCCAAGAAGUAAUGGCUUCUGCUGCUUCUCAUCUGUGGAGCUCGAAGCUGCUGCCAAUGCGCGCAUUGCCGGUUCGAAAAGCUUCCCCGCAACAUCCGGUGGGGGUUGGGAAGCGUCUUCUCCAGGAAGAACGAGAAGGCCCUUCGCUCGAAGAGAAGACGGCUCAUUAUAGCAUGCAUUCCAAAGGGAGUCAACAAGCUGCCUCUCCUCGCGGGCUGCUUCUAGGUCAUCGCGGGCCAUCUCACCGAUCCCCGCAAUACGGCCCUCGAGGACCUGUCUCAGCUUCUCUUCAUCAGCUUCAGGAAAUGUGCUUUCGCUACCACCUGAUUUUGCAUCCCUAGCCAGCUCAAGAAGCCCCCUCAAGGAGGCUUCUCGGACAGCCGGAUCAUCACUCGAUGCGAGGUGUAUCAUAAGUCGGGGAAACCCUAGUUCAGUGAUGAGUUUGUGGUCUGAACUGUUCUCGCGUAGAAGGUAUUGGAUCAGAUUGAGAGCCUUCCUGAUAUAUAAAUUAACAUGGUUUUUAGCACAAGUGCAAAGAUAAAAAGUCGAAAAUGGGAAAGGCUACUUCAGAAUAAACCCAAAUUAUUGUUGAUGGAUCGGCCAUGCACUAAACCACUCGUAAGAUGUCACACAUAUAAAACAAACUCAACCACAAUAUUCUAGGGUACAUUCUGAUGCACACGUAGAAUUUCUUGUAUAAGAAAGUAUGAAGCUUCAUUAGUGCUAACUACAAGAUUGUUGGUCUUCGUCAUUUAUCUUAAUCAUUUUGGUUCCAAGGUUUUCUACGCUGUUUGUUGUUGCAUAAAAUGUGAACCUUUAAUCCACUGCAAUGUCUUAUUUUCCCAAUAUUUAAAAGGGUUCGACUUCUUUUUCAUUAUAAUCCUAGCUGCACAACAAAUUAAUGGCGAUAUAUAAUAAACUUGGGAGGUAAUCAAUUGAUUGAGCUAUGCAACCUAGCAAGAAGGACAACAUGAAACAAAACUUAAAAGUUCAGCGAUUCCAAGGGCUAAAGCAAACAUUAGCUACAAACAACGCAAGUUAGCCAUCUAUUGUAUCAUCAUAUUAGUAGACUGAUACAUACAAUAAAAACAUAGUAGAGAAGUGACAAAAGCUGUUGGACCGGUCAUCAUAUUACUUCACUUGGCCAAGCCAAAGGUUAUGCAGUAGUGUUGUUUGACUAGAGCUGUUUGAAAAAGCACAUAUAGAUUUUAUAUUUAAAUCCCCAUCCCGAGAGCUAUAGAGUAGGAUCAAAAGCUUCAAGUUGGAGCUUUUGUUUUCGCAGCCCAGAAAAUCACUUUAGCUUCUUACUAUAGGAAAAAGUUCAAGCUUUUUGUUUGCCAAGAGAAGAGCCUAGCAUAAUGCAUUUUGAGUAGAGAAGCUAUUCCAAAAUCUAGGAUAUAAUUCGGCUUCCAAAGUGGAAGAGAGAAAGACGUACCUUUGAAAUCUAACAUCUUCUGAACCGAGCGCGUCCUUUAAUGCUGCAUAACCAUUUGCCAAGCGAAAAGCAGCAAUUCCCGGCUUGUUACCUCGAAUCAAUGCUGAAUAUUGCAAGAGAAAAUUCGAUUUCAAUAAAUAUUUCAAAAAUCUAAUGAAGUAAAGAUAGUCCACAAUACACACUAAAUAGUGAAUGACAAAUAGCUGCCUGCACUAGUUGCACGAAAUCAGCUGUGCACCACCUUGUGAUCCUCCCCCUAUUCGGUCUCAAACUUCCAUUCCACCAUCCAAAAGAAAAUAAUUUCAAGUCAGAAAAGGUUGCAAUCCACUGAACAGUGGGGAUUAAAAUAUGAGACAGGACGGAGGCCAGAUAGUCAUUGAGCUGUUCAUGACAGAUAUGGUGAACCGAGUGCAAGUAACCAAGCGCAAGCAAUAACUUUCUUUCACCUACUGAAUAUUUUAAUAAUAUAAGGAUAGUUACUUACAUGAUAUUGCCCCAAGGGCUUUUGUCCUCACAGUUACAUCAGGGUCUGAGGCAAAAUUUGCCAUCAGUGGUUCGAACCCGUUAGCUUCCAUCACAAGCUGUUGACUCUUUGGGUUGUUCUGAACAAUCGUAGUCACAACUUCUGCUGCCUUCGACCGGAUUCUAUCAUGAGAGUUUUUCAAGUAACCGAGAAGAGGAACUAAACCACCAAUUGAGUGUAAAUCUGUUGAAUUACAAGUUACAAUUUUGGUGAAGGAUGUAUUAUAGCCUCAAAGGACUAAAUUUCGAAUUGAACCUCAAUUUAGAACAUAACAACCGACAAUAACCAAGUAACAGAAGAAUGUAAGUCAACUCACCAUUAGCCAUGUCAAUGGAUUCCACAUGCUCUUGUAGCUCAUCCAACAUAUCUGCGGAGUACCCAAAAAACAUAGAUAAAAAAAAACGACAGGAAAAAAAGGUACAACAGGAAGCUUAUGUUGCAUAAGCGCAUAACAAUGUAAUACUCCAAAGAAAGCUGCACAUCUAUAUCUUGUAUAUCCUCAAAGUCCAACAUAAUUAAACUAUCAUAUCUUGUACGCAAGUAUUCCCAUGGUGCUCAAAAACAUGCUCUCUCCUAAAAUGCAAGCACAGACAGCUUGUGGCCUGGAGUUAAAAAUCAGAUGAAGAUACUAAUGUCUUGUUCAGUUACAUUUAACUCAUAUUUAAUCUAAUUAAAGAGGCAAGAAACAGAAGAUUGUUUGCAAUCUAUGCAGAUAUAGGAUUUGAAAUGUGAGUGCGAGUACUAUGUACAUCACUAUGGACAAUCCAACUAUGUUGAAAAAAUAUGAAGAAAAACACAAGAGAAGUCUACCAAAGAAAAGAAGAAAGUAAGAGACGACAUUCAGCCACUUGGAGCAAUUGGAAGAAAACUAAUCUAAUUAAUACAGCUGCUCUAUUUAGUAUCUGUCAGCCUAAAAACAAUAUCUCCAAUAUCCUACAACUCUAAAAGCAACCUGCUUCAACCCAAUUGUUCGAAUGACAGGGGCAAAGUUCAAUAACAAGAAUUAAAUGGUCAAACUCUACGGAAAGAAAAGGUUACCUUCAAUAUUUUCUGGAGUAACACCCUGCGCCUGAAGAACAUCCUCAGGAGUCUUCAUGACAAGUGUGAUCUCCUUCAUCCUCUUCACGACAUCCACUGUCUGCGCCUGCAUCGCUUCCAUAAACCACUUCCUUUCCUCCUCACUAAAAAAGCAAAUGAGUAAAAGAAAUUAAUAAAAAGGUAAAGUACAAUGCUUGACUUGCAAUUCAAUUUCAUCCUCAUAGUUACAAUUAUAGCAAUAUCAUCUAAUGCAUUAUUAGGCUUCACUAACAUAAACUUCGCGAACAAAACCAAGAUCAAAAUUCUAAUUUUAAUCAAACUUGAGUGACUAACUUUGUAAUCAAUCCCCCAAAAGUCCGUUAUUAAUUCAUUCUAUCAGCAAUUCAUCGCAAACAACACCAAAAUCCAAACUUCUCCUAUGCCUUCAAACAACAUGGAUCCAAAACUUCUCUAACAUCAAAACCCCUAGGGCAAAAAGAAAAAUCUAAUAGGAGUACCAAUUCUAAGCCGCAUUGAACCCCAUGGAGAGCACACGAAGAGGUAAAGAGAUUAAGAUCUAAAAUAUAACCAAAAAUAAAAGGACUUCAACAGGAAAAGAAUUCAGUGAAGUACCUGAGAUUGCGCGAGGGCUUGGUUCCAUCAGAGUGAGCGAGGCUCCACUUGAGCAAACCCUCCCAAUCCAAUCCGUCGUUCGCCAUUGGCUUCUACACGCUAAGAAGAGGGGAUCGAACGAUAUACGAAUCAAUGGAGGAGCACUGCGAAACCCUAAUUGCGAUUUCGAAGGAAACAGAGAAUCGCGCGGUAAAAUAAACUAAUGAAGCAGUGGGGAUUAGGGUUCUCUAGAUAAUCGGAGAGACCGAGAGAGAUCGAGCGGGUUCGAGAUAGCUCUUUCCGUUGAUUACGUCUGAUGAAGAUCGGACGGAUCAGGCCGCGCCAGAUCGGAUCAACGCCGUCGCUUUCCAAAGAAUGCAGUAAGCGAGAGAGAGAAUAACGGCGAGAGUUAUCGGCCCUGUGAUGGGGAUCAAACGGUUGGUAAUCCAUCAGCUGUAUACAAAUUCCCUGAAUGACGUGCGGUUGAUCCUGUCCGUCCAUCUCUUCAAAUUGAAGUCGGCGAACUGAAGUAUCUCGUCACCGACUUUGGACACGGUUUGCAACAGAGAGUGCUUCGCAGCCGACUUCGUUUGAAACCGAGUUGGUUCCGCAUGGCCUCGAUAUGCAACCUACUGAAUUCAUAGCAGUAACUUUUUAAAUUAGCAAAUUCAAAAGCCCUACAUUGGAGCUCAUACUUAGAAAGCUUAAUCAUUUCUGCUUCUUGCUGCAGCAAAAUUUGAAGCUGAUCUGUUUGCUAAAACUAAAAUGCACAAACGAAGAAAACAUAGUCGAACUGAAAAAGUUUCCGACUGAAGAAGUACUGAGACUAGGUUUGAAAUAUCAAAUACAUUUGAUCCAAAUCUGAACAACUGCAGCAUGGUAGAAACAAACUGAAACUGGAGAAAUAACUGGAUCAAUUAGCACGAAAAUACAGUACUAUUCAGUCGCUCAUAUUUUCAUAGUUCUUACCAUCACUUUACAGCCUUAAGACGCCUUAGUUUGCAUAAUUUGCUACAAAUUAAGAACCACAUUAUGUACAAGUUUAAACAAGCUUAUUUCCAAAUAGCUUUUACCAGCCGUAAUCAAGGGAGAAGCCUUCGUCAGCUGUACACUUCCACUUUGAUGCCAUCUAAGAAGCAUUUGACGCCCCACGUCUCCUUUCUGCAAAUCAUACAUCGAAAUAGGAAUCAUAUGUACGAUUUUCCAUCUAGUUCUUUACUGAGAAAUAUAGACCAAGGGCCUACUCCACCCACUUUAUGUGGAAGUGUUGUUCGAGUAUAACUGCUUAAAAAAGUUGUAACAUCUUUUUCAUUGAAAACUUCAACAAUAGAUUAUUAUUAUAACAGAAGCAGAUGAUUCCAAACUCUUUUUUCUUUGGAUGCUCAAUAGCUCAUCAGCUUUCUGCUACAGUUUGUGUUUUCCGAACGCCCAGUUGCUAUUCUUCAUAGUAAAGAAGUUGCUCUAAAAGCCAGGUUGUGUGAAGUUACAAUUUUUUUCCAAAAACUUACGCUAAUAAAGAAUAGCGUUUUAAUCAUUUACAGUCAACAUUGCCCCUCCAUCUGACUAGAUGUUGACUACCAGCGAACCACAUGAUAAAGGAGAGAAAAUUACAUGAAACAAGGAGCCUCGAAAGAUCCGAGCUAAGGAUAUACUGCUUUGACACCAUAUGAUAUAACAAAUUUCUUUUUUUUCUGGAAGCAUAUCCCAGUAGUCUGGUGUUUUAAUCAUGGGGAAAUUGCAUACAGGCCAAAGACGCCUGUGGUGGCCCGCUCUAAAGCAGUUUUAUAUUUUAAGUACCAUUGAAACAAAUUUUGGAAUAUAACAGUAGCUUUUCCUUUCCUUGCUUAGAAGAUGAUGGCUAAAUUACCAAAUAUGAAGAACAUAUAGAUGACAAGUACAGCUUACCCCCAGUUGCGAUGAGUUCCUCUACACGGGAGACUAUAUGCUUUCCAUAAGUAAGUUCCUUAAGUGCAUUUAAGUGGGCUUUUAUUCGUGAGAGGAUCAGCUCGCGUUGCUGAUCAUUGCACGUCUCUAAAACUUUCUGCACAACAUAGUUACCAAACUGGUCCGUCAUCAUUUCCUGCGAACGACAUUAACAAAAGUAUGAGUUCAAUUAAAAUGCUCUAUAGUUUUACAUAAUAAUCUAUUUAUUGUGAACAUACACUAGAUUCAUAUUUUCAAAAUCAAUGGAGAAGUUCUCAUCAAAUCGCAAUCAAGCUAUUUUUCAGCUUUCUGAAACAAUAACUCAGACUUCUUAAUGCGUUUGCACUUUCUCAUUUGUCUAAAAUUAAUAAGUAGUACGAGCUUCAGAUGUAGGAAACUGAUACAGAGAGAACAGAAUAUAGGAUUCAUCAGUAUGAAGGUAUAGUUCUGCAGUAUUUCAGUUAGCCUGGAAAAAUUAAUUACACCCAAAUGCAAAAAGCACAUGAGUAAUAAAGGACAUGCAGGACUCUUGGGUUCAUAUGAGUUUUAAUUGAAUAUAACAUUCUAUGUUGUGUCUAAGAACUCUCAAAAAAUUCAAUCACACCAAGAACUUUCUCUAAGGUAUCAUAUGCUUUCUGUAAAUAUACCAACAGAUUAUAUUUCAGUGAAAAUUUCAACAUGCUUAUUUAGAAGGCAUCUUGUCAUAGAACUACAAUUAAGCAGCAAUUUUAACGCUCUAUUACCAAUUUCAACUGCAUAUAUUAGAUAACUAAAAAUAGGCACACAUUGUUGUAAAUAUGUUGCAGUCAUCUUAGUUAAUUUUUGAUACAUGUACAGCAUAAAUCUAAGAAAAAACAGCAAAGACAUAUUAGUCAAAAAAAUUUGGGAUCAGAACUUUUAUGUCUAUAAAAGCAUUUCUCAGGGAUACAUUACCUCAACAGUAAAUAAAGUCAAAUAAAAGGUAAUCAUAGUCAUCUUGUCAAUAAUCUGCUCCAGGCCACUUACACUCUUACUAGCCACUGAGGGCGCAUAUAUAACAAUAUAAUGAUAGUAGUGUUAGAAAAUGUGUCUAAAGAUGAAAGCACCGACCUUAAGAGGCUCAUUCGCAUCAGUGGUGCCUAGAAUCACAUUUAUCAGAAUUUGGCGGUCCUCAGGCCCACUACAAAGUAAGCAUUUCUCGAUGACAUUUGAAGCGAACUUCUCUUUGCUCAUCUCAACUAUCUGCCCAGCUAAUUUCCUGAUGAUGAAAGAUUGCACGUCUCGAUUUCCAUUCUCCAAAACAUACUGUGAAAAAAUAUAUAUUAGAAUCUGAAUAUGUACAAAGUUCUGUCAUGUAUAUCGUAACAACCUCGCAGAACAUUUUGGCUAAGAACUAAAAAGGAUAACAACAAAUUAGGCCCAGAAGUUUGACCCAAUUUCAAUUUCAUCCUCAUGGUUUCAUUUAAUUUAAUCCCUGUUAAGUUUGUUCUGGAUUUCAAUUUUAUCCUUAGGCUCCGUUUGGUUCGGGGUUAAGUAAGAACUAGUUAUUCCAGAAAUAGGGUUAAGUUCAGGGUUAAGGUGGGGUUAGAGUAAUUUUAUGUUUGCUUGAGAAUUGGGUUUAGUCCAGGUAUAGAUAAAAUAGUGUUUGGUUGGAGUAGGUGGGAUAAUAAGAAUAGUGGGUUAUUAUAAAUAGAAAAUAAUAAUUUUGCCCCAAUUUUUAUAUUAGAAUUUAAAUUUAAAUUUAAAUUUUAAAUAAUUAAAAAAUAAUUUAAAAUUUAAAAUUUAAAAUUAAAAUUUUUAUUUUUAAAUCUCAAAUNAAAAUUUAAAAUUUAAAAUUAAAAUCUAUAUUUUUAAAUCUCAAAUUAAAAAAUUUAAAGUUACAAAUAUAAAAUAUCAAAUUUAAAAUUUAAAUAAUUAAAAAUAAUAAUUUUUUAAAAAAUUAAAUUUUAAAAAAUAAAUUUUAAAAAAUAAAUAUUAAUUUUAAAAUUAAAAUAUAUAAUUUUUUAAAAUUUUAAAUUUUAAAAAUAAAAUUUAUAUUUAUAUUAAAAAAUUAAAUAGGGGUGGGAUUAAGUUAAUCCCACCCCUAUUCCUGGGGCGGGGUGGGACCCCCCAAAUUGGGUGUUUGGAAAUAACUUCGGGGUUAAGGGGUUAUUCCCCUCCUUAACCCCGAACCAAAUGGUGGCUUAUAAUUUCAUUUCUAAUAUUUGGUCUCUAAAUAAAUAUUUAAGCCUGAUAUCUGUAUCAUCCCCAAACCCAAAGUUUCAAUUUGAAUAAAGCAAAAGCCUAAUGAUGGCAAUAUGCAACCUUUUUUAGAAAUUCACCAAAAUUAUUAUGUAGGACAAACUUGAGGACGAAAUUGUUGCAAUUGAAACUAAUGAAAAUGAAAUUGAUUAUGUAGGACAAACUUGAGGACGAAAUUGUUGCAAUUGAAACUAAUGAAAAUGAAAUUAAAUCGAAGGUCAAACUUUACGGAGCAUAUUUUUAAUUAGCAACAGCUAAAGUACGACUGCAUUAGCUCCAAAAAAAAAAGAUCGUAUAAUAAGAGAACUUAUUAUCGGCCUCUAAGGACUAGCUGGAGCUUCUGUAUAGUGCUAUUUGCAUUGAGCUUUUCUAUCAAGGACUAACAGAUUUUUCACUUAGAUAUACUCCAACAGCUUCUCAUGAUGGCAAAAGCAAAAGCUACAGAUUUUUGGCAUUAUUUUUGAGGGUUUGAAAUUUUGAAUUAUGAAAGUUCUAAGCACAUUCAAUCUAUAUCAUUCAAUGUGCUUUAUUCUGACACAAGGAAAAGCGUUAAAUUAAAGUGGUCAUGAAAUGAAAUUGUAAAUAGCUGACAAAAAGAUUAGUAUAGGUGAAUCACAAGUAGUCCUAUAUUCAUAAGNUUGAAAUUUUGAAUUAUGAAAGUUCUAAGCACAUUCAAUCUAUAUCAUUCAAUGUGCUUUAUUCUGACACAAGGAAAAGCGUUAAAUUAAAGUGGUCAUGAAAUGAAAUUGUAAAUAGCUGACAAAAAGGUUAGUAUAGGUGAAUCACAAGUAGUCCUAUAUUCAUAAGAAACGAAAGAAAAAAAAAGAAAACUCUUACACACCUGAACAACAUAAUUUCCAUACUGGUGGUUCGCCAAUAGACAAACAGACUUCAAAAUUUCUCUCAUCAAGAUUUGCUGAGUUUUAAGAUCAUCACAGUAUUCCAGUAUUUUCUGAAUCAACAAAAGUACGAUGUCGACCUCCAUGAGAAAAAAUAUUGGAACAUUUGCUUCUACUCCAAUAAAAGUUAUCUCAUCCCUGCAAAAUCUGAAAUGUCGGUAUGCCUUAUAAAACAAACCUUUAUUACUCUUCGAAAUGUUAUUAGUACUAAAAAAUGUUUAUUACUGCAAAAACAGAUUUUCCCCAAUUUAAGGGUAUUUUUAUAAGAAACUGCAUACUUGAGGAACAUAUAUGAAAAUUCAGAUUUUACAGGGAUACUUGCAUAAAUAGAUAAUUUGCAGGUUUGUACUAGUAAAAGCCCCAAAAAUAUUUGUGCUUAAAAAAUAUCCUAACAUGGAGCAUAAAUGGCAGGGAAAAGGGUGAAGGACCUUAAUGACAUGGCAUCCAUAUUGAUCAAUGCACAUCGGAACAACUUUAUCGUAGAAACAUGAGAUAAUAAACUGAAUCAUAUGAUGUGGCAAGCACUCAACACAUUUCUGAACGACAUGGCUUCCAUUUUGGUCAUUUACACAUUCCAUGACAUGGCCAUCGAGUUCCAUAGCCAAUUUUAAUUUCACUUCCAGAUCGACAACAUCAAGUGCCUGUUGCAGUAUUUACUCAGUGUAUGGUGAUUUGCAUCAAAAUAUUCCAAUCCACCAAAUAUAUGAUUAUGCGAGUAGAACUAAGAGAAAACUAUACAAACGUUAUUAGCAGAAGAUAUGUAUAUAUACUAGAUUCUUCUAAGGUAUCUCGAUGUAAUAAUGGGAUAGAAAAAUGCAAGAGGCCUGAGGCCCAUGAAUUAGUAAGUGCUAAACUGAAGAAAACCCCAUAGAAUAUCAUAGUUUUCACUUUGCCCUUGGAAUGUUGCAACCCAUUACCACCCACAAGUGUUCCAAUAAGUGAUACUAUCAGUUUGCUGUAAGUAAAUGGAAAAAUAGAAAAAUGUAGGUUCUAGAAUUUCAGGGAUCCAAUGGAGUAUCGCGAUAUUUAUGGAGGUUUUCUGCAAUUUCUUCAUUGCAAGAUAUCAUUCUAUGCUUUAACAGCAAAUAGAUGAUAUUGUGCUUUUUGAUGCAUCUAAAUUUUGUAUAGUUCAAAGAUCAGAUGCAGAAUUACCGUCUGAACCACUCGGCAGCCAUAUGUGUUGAAGCUGAGACGCAACACAUUUCCAUGUAUAAGGCUAGUUAACUCCUUUAUUUGAGCUGGAUUUCCAUAGUCAAAGAACUGAUGCAAGGAAACAAAGAGAAAACAUAAUCUGGUAGUUCAUGCUAAACACACGCGCACAUAGAGAGAGAGGCCAAACCUUCUGGACCACAUAAUUUCCAAAUGCAUCAUUCAUCAGAGAGAAAGCAUGAGGCAAGACUUCUUCAAAUACACAAUCUCUUUCUUCAGCACUUGCUGUGUCGAGCUUCUGCUGAAUAAAACGGCUGCCUAGCUGGUCAACACUGCACGUUAAAACACAAUAUUAGUAAGAAUGUAAACGGCAUAAAAUAAGAAAGUUUAUAAAUGCCUCCGGUGUACUGAUCUUGGUUUUAUACCACAAAUAGCAAAAAUAACAGCAUUAAAAGGAAAGUACUUCAGACUCGCAAUUUUCAUGUACCUGAACACAACAAUAUGACCGAAAAUAUCAGAGAGAUGAAAUAUUCUGUUUCUGUUGUUCUUGAAUUCCUCUAGAAGUGGUGGAACAUACUCUGGGUUUUUUGAAAGUGGCCUCUCAUACUGCUUUUGCAGUCCCUUGGCCCCAACUACUUUGCAAGAAGUGCUUCCCCGAGAAGCAAUUUGGAGUGAAGGAUUACUACAACAUGCUUCAGCUUGUGCUAUGCAGUCGACUGCCUUCAAGUACAAUAUCAAAAGUGGGUCGGCUUUGGAUUGAUACCGGAGCCGAUUAAGAUAUUCUAGUUCUCUUGCAUUUAAGGUUGGUGGAGUAAAAAUGCCUUCGAACAUACGGAAACUAAAAGAUGCAAUAGAAGUUGGAACAGCUGCAUCGUCAUACAAAACAGACAAAUUUCGGGGACCAUUACGGAAAGAUUGUCUUAGAUCUCCUGAAUCUUUUGAGUCAAAGUUCUCCAAUAAAGAAUGUUUCUUGGUAUGGUUUUGCCCAUCUUUUGAGUCACAAACAAAAUUGUGAUCAUCAUUUAUUUUUCCUUGAAGCUUUACUUGGGGAAUUUUCUUACCAUUUAAUACACCAAAAGUCGACAAGUUAAUGCCAGAUAAAGAAGCUAAAAAUUCAUCAGAUUUAGCAUUACUUGAGGAGGCAUUUUUUCCUUGAAGCUUCAGUUGAGGAAUUUUCUCACCAUGUAAUACACCGGAAGCCGAUGAGUUAAUGCCAGAUAAGGAAGCUAAAAACUCAUCAGAUUUAGCAUCACUUGAGGAGGCGUUAUUGGAGGAUGGUGAACUAAUUACAUUCUUCUCAGGGGUACUAAUUGUAAAACCUGCUAAGUAAUGAUGACCAGGUACCCAAACAGAUGAAGUGUGACAUGGUGGUUCAGUUAUAGUCUGAAAUGAUGUUUGAAAAAAAAAUGGUGUGUCAGUAAUGGAAAUUAUACAGAGUACAAUGCAGCAUCAAGUUAAAAGGCAAAUUCAAGAAAAGGCAAAUAAAUUGGAGAUAUUUUUAGCGCAGCAAAUGAACACUGAAGCUUCAAGCAGUCGCAAUUUCUGUACGUAGGCUCACUACUUGUUAUUUAUUAUGCAUGCAAAAAGAAUAGCGAAUGGUGAGCCAACGGUUGGAAUAACGACUAGAGUAUUUGAUAAAGGCUUUAAUAGGAAAGCAAAUUAAAACUGAUCUUGAUUUCAAGUACAACCUCUUAGAUACUAAAUAUUUAUAACACAAUAUUAAUUCCAAAAAAAGAAGUACAGACACAGAGACACAUGAAUGGAAAUGCAAAUUACAAUUGAGCAUUGAAGUAAAAAAAUUAACAAUUGUAGUAAUGAUGAGUGAAUGCUGCUGUUUUGAGGCAUAAAUUAUAUCCCAUGUCUUCUGACAUGAUUUACUGCCUGUUUUGCCAAUGAGACACUCUUGUCAUUUAUAUAAAACUGAGAAAAAUUUCUACAUCUUCCUGUUUUAGUACUUAAAUAAGAGAUUACUUCAUUUCUCCAAUAAGAGUGGUACUUUGGCAAAUUUUGGUGCAAGCAAUUGACCUAAAUUAAAUCUGCAGAGAGAGAAGAGAGGUAAAGCAAAUAAUAUAACCAACUUAUGCAGCUCGGACAACAACCUAUAUAUACAAAUUACGACAAACUGAGGCAUGGCAUACUAAAUCUACAUGUAUAUAGUUCAAAUGCAUGAUAGUAAGCAGCUUACACCUGUGUUUAUUACAUGCCGUGCAAGCUACAUAGGGUUAUGGUCUGUGCAGGACGCUAAAGUGACUGAAUCUGCAUAUGCAGGCGCAAAUAUGGUGACACAGGUCCAUGUGUCAUAUCUUAGAAUAGUGUCAACAAUAUAUCUGUAGUACUCUAUAAUAUCUAGGUCCAAUGCAGAUCGUGAUAAGAAGCAAUCUUUAUUACUGGCUGUUGAAAGACAAAUUAUACAUCUUGUUUAGUUUAUAACAUGAUUACCUUGAGAACACUCAAGUUCGUCAAACACUUCAACUGGUCCAUAGACAGUUCAACCUAAUGACGUCAUUGUGCCAUCACAUUGAGACAUUAAGAUAGCUUCCUAGUUUCCUUAUGAAGACAGAGAACCAGAAAAAGACAAUGUCAAUCAUACUGGUGUAAGAAUUUUAUUUUAUGUUUGGAUUUGUCUUGAGAUAGUGGAUCCAUCCUGCUCCACAUUGCAGCAUUACAUAUUUGGAGAAAAAGUUGAAGGGGAAGCUUUUUAGAGGUCUAUGAUGGUAGCAAAUGGCUUGGGCCAAUGCUCUUCAAGGGUUAGAAGUUGGAGGCCCCGCAAUACGGACCAUCGCGAUAUUUGUGAGCUUUUCUUUAACCUAUUAAGAUUUGUUAUUAGAGACAUCUAUACCCCUUUUCGUUAUGAUCAAUGAUAUGAGAGCAUCGGUGUAUAUAGGGACUAAAGUUUCUUAGAAUCUACCUAUUUUCGUACACAACUAUUAGAGCAUCGGUGUAUAUGGGGGCUAAAAUUUCAUAGAAUCUACCUAUUUUCAUACACAACUAGUGAUUGCCGCAAAAUAUUUCCUCUAUCUUUGUCAUUAGACUUAGCCAUCAAAGCUGUCCAAUGUGAAUGAAAUUGUGUUCCUUGCUUUCUUCACUUUUCUCUUCAUCAUCUUUGGUGUUUAUGUCUGACGUACUUAAUUUUUAGGGCCAAUAAAUGAAUAAAAUCAACAAACCAUAAUGAUUCUUGAAUAACUAUAUUAACCUUAAUGAAGACCACGAAUGCAUGCAAUUAUCAUAUUCAAUAAACAAAAGUACGUAAGAAGUCUCACCACAUGUGUAGGUUACAAGGAUGUUAAUAGGAUUCUUAAAAAUAAAGGCAUGUGAUAUAAUGCAAGGGACCAACCACAAAAUAUCCACCGUCAAUGUUAUGCUAAUAGUCUGCCUAUCACAAAAUAGAUUUCUGUGAGGAUAUUGGAGCACACGAUAAUUCAUUUAGAAUCGUGUAGAGUUGGAUUUUCUCUUAGGAUUUUGGUUCUUAAUAGUGACCCUCUCAUCUUUCUUCGAUCAUAAUUCAUGAGCAAACGUUCCAAUGUAUAGUGUUAGAGAAGAAAUAAGAGAGUAUUCUUGCCUCUAUAAUAGGAAGAUGUUUGAGCAAGAAUUGUCGUGCCACUGGCACUGGGUACUGGGGUGUGCCAUCAGCAUGGCAUGACACACUUGCACGACUCAGCAUACACUAUUUUAUAUGUCAACACGAGUGGCAUGGGCUUAUCAACAUAAGUGGCACGGAUGCCAGGCGCCAGUUGUGCCAGACCUUGCUGACUGGCACAAGAAUCCUUAUGUUUGAUAAUAGACAACUUGAUAGAAUCAAAUUUUCCUAGAGAAUUUAAAGUCAAAUUACUAAACAUAUUUGUAACAUCAUGCAUGAGUCAUAAUGAUAGGAAAAAGCACUUAGUCAUGCACGGAUGAAUAAGUUGUCAUAGGCAAAUUGACUAUGCAAAGGAGUCAGCCUCGAAAGGUUUGAUUGGUUGGAGUGGGAGAUCCGAUCAAUCUAUGCCGGUCGAGUAUGCAUAAAAAAUUCGUGCUCUUCGUAAUCAAUAGAAUACAUAAAAAGUCUGAAUGAAGAAACUUCUUAGUAAUCAAUGUAACACAUAAAAAAAUCCAAAAGAAGGAUUACCAAAUCAUCUGUGUCAGUAGGAACGAAGCACUUAUGUGCUAAUGGCUUGUAGGCACAUUAUAGGAGAGUGCCAUGAUAACUUCUAUGCUGGAAUGUAGCAUAGCACGUCCCACCUAAAAUACUUUGUAUUUUUCUUUCUUCUAUGUUAACACCUAUGCAUACCAUCAUCAUGUACAUGCAUGAAAAUACUGAGCCAGUGCCUGAAUGGCAUGAGGUGUGCCACUCAAAGUUUUCAAUAAGGUCUUAAUAAUGUAAUCAUGAAAUGUAUUUUUUUUUCUAAUAUUCUAGAAUUGUUUUUUAACUAGAAUCAACCAAAUCGGUGCAAGGAAUCUUUACAAAGUUGAUUAGAAAAAUGAAUCCUGACAAAACAAAACUCUCCUAAAGAACUUCCAACAUUAUAAACUGGUAAUAGGAGAUUAAUCGCCAAUUAAGUGAUAGCAUGAGACAGAGUACAAUUUGACACCACCCAGCUAAUCUACGAAAAGGGGCCUGCUGGACUUGUAUUUCUAGCCAUUUUGCUAUUUCUUGGCAACAAGCAAAUUGGAAUCGAGUCUAGUGUACGCUAGUUUGCUUUUUGAUGCUUUGUAGGCAAUUUCAAGUUUGGUAAAUUUACUAUUGCCUCAUGUAUGGAAAUAUUUUUCAUAUCCUUCACCAUUGAGAGCACAUUCUCUUUCCUGAUAUCAUUCUUCUCCAUCAUCUCUUCAUUGUCUUCAAACAGAGGAAGAAGUUUCUCUUUCAACCGCAAAAAAAGUUGUGGGAUCUUCAACCUAAAUGAAGGCCCCAAAAAUUAAAAGAAGAGGCUCAUAAGAGAGUUAAGAACAAUAGCUUCUUUUAAAGCUCUCAUUGGCUAGAUGCGCUUUUCAUACCACCUUUCCUUCCUCUUGUGUUAUUCUCAAUUUCCAAAGUUCAAUCCAGGAAGACUAUGAUGAGAUCAUGAGAUGAUAGAUAACUCAUCUAUCGACCAUUGCAAAACACUUUCUAUAACAACCCUAGAAACACUGGCAUCAAGUAUGCCCAAAAAAGGAUACACUGAACUUGCCUUUGAGGUAACUGCGUCCCAAAAGCCCUUCUCAUGUGUUGUCAUGCAUCUAAAAAUCACCAAAUUCCGUACUGGCACGGCGCCAUCAAUGCAACAAAAAUUGCCAAUCAGCAUGACUAUGGAUAUAGGCACGUACUAUCUAUUCCACGCGUCAAAAGGAGCUACAUGGUUUAGAAAUAAUAUUGUAAAUAGCACAUACUAUCUAUUCCACGCGUCAAAUGGAGCUACAUGGUUUACAAAUAGUAUUGUAAAUAACAGAAAUCUCUGUUCCGACGCCCCAAUUCACAUGCAGCUCAAUGUUUUCUUGUAUUCCACAAAGAUUAUCUUCUCAUCCUUCUGUCACAAAUUGAUCUCCAACAAUCAGAAUAUUAAUGUAGCCUUACUUUUCUAUGACCCUCAAGUAGUCAAUCAGAUCGUUGGAGUCGAUCAGGACCCGCAACAGAAAAUCAGAAACAACUUGUUACAGGGUCAUGUGAAGAAUCAGGGUGCAAAAAGAACCUCCCUGAUAUUGCUAGGUAAUGAAAUAUUAAGUACAUACCUUUUUUUGUCAAAUAGUUCUAGUACUAAUCUUAUAUAGUUAUAUGGAAAGCUUCGACCACUGUGAUCAUAUUAAUAGCAUAUAAAAGUGAAGCAAUUAUAUGAUGCUGAGCCCUUGUUAUUCUUCUUCUUCUUCGUCUUCUUCUUCUUCUUAUCAAAUAGAGGAACACUCCUUUUCAAUUUGGAAAUUCUCUCCUAUGCAGUAGUUCUGAGCCUCCAAUACAAAUUUAAAAGCAAAAAAAUAAAUGACACAGGGACUAAGCCGCAAUAUCUUGGAUAACUACAGGGACUAUCCAUCCAUACAUUGUAAUUUGUAUUAUAACACCAACAAAUAAUUAUUAAUUAAUUCCACUAAAAAAAUUACCUGCAAAAUAUCAGUAGAGCUCUGCAACCUCUCCACCUCCUCUGCACUGUUCUUCGGCCUCCUCCCAUCUCCAAUCACCCCCAACCUCGACCUCCUCCCCGUGGGCCCUUCGAUGGGCCUCCCCGUGGGCCCCUCGAUGGGCCUCUCCGUGGGCACCUCGGUGGGGCCCCGUUGGCCCAACGUGGGCCUCCUAUCCCCAAUCACCCCCAGAGACCGCCGCGUGGCGGCGGCGGCGGGCCCCACGUUCACCGUCGGCGAGGCGGAGCCGCUCAGGCAUGCGUUGGGCAUCGACAUUGUGCUCUUAUUGAACACUGAAACCCUAGAAAUUUACGAACCCUAAAUCAACCUGCGUCGGAAAAUUGGGGAAAUUAUAGAUCGAAUUAGACCGAAAUUUAGUAGAAUUAUACGCUCGGAGCACCGGAAACUCUUGAUUAAACAGGUUUUCUUCAGUAAAAUCGAACCUUUCCGAAAUUGAAGUAGCGACUAAACAAGUUCCCAAAUCGAAGUAAGCUCAAAAGUUGAGCUCGAAUACUGAGCUCAGCGAUUGGUAAUUUCGAAACCUUUAAACGCCGAGCGGAUCGAACGAGCUCAAAUUCUCAUCGCCGCGAGAGAGAUCGGAGCGAGGAGGCGCCUUUUUUUGACGCGAUCGACGAUUAUCAUUCCCCCAUUUGCGACGAGGAAGAGAGCUCUCUUAAUGGCGAACGGAGAGAGAGAGAGAGAGAGAGAGAGAGAGGUAGCAGUAGUAGUGUGAAGAAGAAGAGUGGAAGAAGAGACGAAGUAUAGAGUGAGAAGGGAAGAGAGAAAGAGAGAGAGAGGCUUGAAAUUAGUAUCUGCACCGGGUGUAUCGCUAUGUCCAAUGCACCACAUGCAAUAGGUAGUCAAUUUUAGAUAAAUAUGUACGUAACUUACCUCGGGUGUCACCGAUUUUGAUUUUUUAACUAUCUAAUUUUUAAAAAUUUUUAUUUUGCCACCCCACCUUUUAACUUAUUUGAUUUGAGCCCGUCAAAAAUUCUUUAAUUUUAAAUUUUGAAUCCAUCGAUUUUUUUUAUAAAUUUAGUUAGUAUAUUUUUCGUAAUUCAUGCAAUUAUUAAACUUGUAAAAAUAAGUAAUUAGUUUAAAUUUUAUAUUAAAAGAAUUGUCAAAUGGCUUAAAUUAGAUAAAUUAAAAGGUGAAAUAUUAAAAUCAAAAUUUUAAAAUUUUGGAUUGUCGUAUCAAGAUACACUAUAAUUCAAGUAAGUUCUGCACGUAAAUUAUAAAGAAAGUAUAUAAUUUAAGGGUCCGGCUGGAAUACUAUUGAUAGCACCAAACGUUUGGUGCUAUCGAGUUUCCCGCCGUUACAUUUAAUUCUUGACUAUUUUCAGUCGUUAGAUUUUACUAUUCAACUAAUAACACGUUCAAUCCUAAAAGGCCCAUAUCAUUCUUACCGUAUAUUUUUUCAUCAAAGAGCCGAAAAUCUAAUAUCACCAAGAGCUUGGUGCUAUUAAUAGUAUUCCAGCCUAGUUCUAUAAUUAAAUACAUUAAUUUAUUUGUUCCAUAUUAUACAAAAGGCUCCUAGAUAUAUAAAAAAAGAGUAUUACUAUAGGGGAGCGGUGCACGAGAUAAAGUAAUACACCACGCGCAUGCAACAGCGAGGAAAGAGCGACAAAGGGGCGACGAGCACGAGGCAAGGAAUUCAACCUCGACCGUCCGAUGGAGAUCGGACGGGUGCGAGAGGGUUUGGCGUUUUGCGCGGGAGAUUGUUGAUGAGAAGGGAGGAGAUUUGUGUAUCUUCGAAGGAGAGGGGGCGUGCGGGGAAGGAAUUUCGAGCCCCCCUUUUGUGUUUAUUAUUAUUAAUAAUUAUUAAUAAUUACUGCGUCAUAGAGAGCUUGAAGUGGGCCCCACCACCCAACGGAUUUGUGCAGGUGUGACACGUGGCAGCUCAGGAAGAUUUUGCAGUGGCAGGCUCACGCGUUUGGGGAGCUUGACUAUUCCAACUAUGGGCUAAGCCCCUGUGCUAGUCCAAUAUUGUGAUUUAAUCCCUUUUUUACACAUUUUAGUCCCUAAACUUUCAUUUGCCUUGCAAAAUUUGACUUUAAAAUUUUUAUAAAGAAUGAAUUUUGUCAUAAAAGGAGUAAAUUGGUCAUGCUAUAAAGUAAUUCAGAAUUUUUUAUAAAUCAGGAACUAAAACUUAAAUAUAUGUAAAAUUUUAGUGGCUAAAUUAUUUAAAUAAAAACAGGUGAGUACAUUGAGUUUCCAUACACUAACCCUUCCUCUUUAGAGAGAGAAAUUUUUACAUGCAUCUACUGUAUUAGUUCGAUUAUGCACUGCUCAUCUAUUUUGAAAAAAAGAUAGUAUAUUAUUGGCUUCAUUUUUUUUCAAAAUAAAUUCAGCCGAAAAUAUAAAACAAUAAAGCUUCAAACUUGAGACCUCGAGUACUAAUUAUCAAGUUCUUUGUCACUUAUACUAAAAACGGUCUAUAGUUGUAUUUGUUUUUCGAUAAUGAGAAACAUAAGUUUUGUGACCCUAAAGCUUGCAAUGAAACUUAAACUCGAAAUCUCAUCCUUCCACUCCUUAUUCGUGACUACUAGUACUGGAAAUCCUAGUUGUUUGGCUCGUUUGAGAAUUUAAAUCAGUGAUCGAACUAAACUAAAUAAUGGUUAAUAGAUGAGCGGUGCAUCGCUAUACGAAUGCACUGGGUGCAUGGAAUACUUUGCAAGUCUCAUAGGGAGUCCAAAUUCGGCAAAGAUAAGUGCCGCACCACCGACUUUCACGCUUGGAUAUUGUGAAAAUGUUGAAACCGGCGCUAAAAGAUUUUUGCCAGUUAGUAUAUAACAAUUGAUAAUUCUUUCACGCAAUGUUUGGUUUGAAAAUUUUUAGUUUAAACAAAUGAGAAGCAUUGAAUUCACAACUUAAUUUGUACAUGUUACCCUCACUGUAUUUGAUUACAGAUAGUAAAAGUUCGUCCAAAAUGAAACCUUUUUUUUUAUGAGAAAAUAGUAAUUCGUUUAGGCAACGAUCCAGAAGAAAGUCCCAACCAAUCAACAAAACUACUGGUUACAAAUAACAUCUUGUGUUCAUUGUUUAUUAUAUUUAUUUGUUAGAUAAGCAGUGUGUGUUCGAGCCCACAUUAGGUUCAAAAUGUCUAUUAAAAAAAUAUUUCAUUCUGUCACUCGACAAAAUGUUUUGCAAGAAAUGAAGUGUAAGGAUGCGAAAGUAAACUUUGUGAAGUUAAGAUACCUAUAUCAAGAUGUUCUACGUUCAGGGAAGCUGAUCACAUUUUUAAACUUUCGGUAGUUAUAAAAUAACAAUAUCCAACGCGAAAAGUGAAAACACUUUACAUAUAACACAUCAGACGUUCAUCGACUGCAGGAAAAAUGAUGCUUGAUUUGGAGAAAAAGGACAAACAACAAACAAAGAUGUGGGAUUGAUCAAAUUCCUUCAUUUUAGUAUCUUUGAUUCGAUUUCCUCCAAACUCAAUCCUUUUGUCUCGGGAACCUUGAAGAGGACGAAUAACAGUGAGAGCAAUGCAAUGCCCCCGAAGAGGAGGAAAAUGUUAUCCGGGCCCAGUAGCUCCUGCAAAAGAAAAGUGCUUGCCGGUAAAGCGCUUGUAGAUUCACUCCAGGAUGAUUCGAAACUUUAUACAAGAAAUCAUAGUAAAGAUGGGUAACUUGCUUCCUGGAGAGUAAAUACUGUAGAGUAUCGAUCUUGUAAGUUGAGAUUUUGCAUCUUUUCGAGUUAUGUAAUAAAGAUUCUGGAGGGAUAUACAUCUAAUAGACACUACAAUACAUAUUAUCAUGGUGCCUCUGUUGGACGAAUGAUUCUAUAAAAAUGGAGAAUUAAACAGGAAUUGCAUCAAACACUCGCAUGUAUUGAUCAUUAAGCAAUAAAUGUUUUUGAGCGGGAAUACCUUCAAUGGUGAGAAAGCAAAGGUUACUAAAGCAUUUGAUCCGAAAUUGACGAGGACUGCGAGACUGAUUCCACGGCCUCUUGUACGGAGUGGAAAAAUCUCAGACACCAUCAGCCAACUUAUUGGACCAAAUGAUACCUGUAAUUAGGGAAAAUAUAAUCAACAUUAAUCAUCAUUAGUUAAGUGCAUUUUAUUAGGGGAGUUGAGAGUACACUUAAUUCAAUUUUGAUGAUAGCUUAAAGAUAAGAAUAAAUAUAUCGAAGGUUCAUAAGUAAAAUGUUCCACUCUGUUAUUGUAGUUAAAAAGGAGUUGUAUGUGGAAUAGUACUAAUACCAUUUAUCAACUGCCUCAAUGAUACUUCUAUAACAAGACAGUGAGACACAUUCAGAAAUCAAAAUAGACAUCAGUGAACAAAGCAGAUGAUAUCCAAUACUAUUCACAUGAACAGUAAUUUCUAAACUAAUAUGUUAUCUGAGAGAGAGAGAGAGAGAGAGAGAGAGAGAGAGAGAGAGAGAGAGAGAGAGACCUGGUAGGACCCAACAUAAAGGAGUAGAGCACCGACUGCAACCAGUGGAAAACCAGCAAGAAUCUUGUAGUAAGCUGCAAGAAGGAACAAUGACACCACCUGCACCACUCACGAAGUAUAAGAACUCAAUCCCUUUGACGAUCACAACACACUUUGAUAACAAAGUAAGCAGAUAGACUCAAGAGUACUCAUCAUCAUUAAUAUUUUCCUAGUUCUUAGAACCAUUAGUAAUGUUUUUCAAAUAAGGAUGUAAUAGAAGAAAUACACACAAUUCCACCAACGCCUCCUAUCAACAGUGGGCGCCUUCCGAGGCUGUCAACCUUUAGAACAGCUAUCCCUGUCAUAACCAACUGCAGCAAGAACAGAAUAAUUAUGACCUAGAUAACAUAUUUUAAAAUAGCAUUAUAGAGGUAACAUGUAAUUUAAUAACAGAAUACUAAAACAAGAAAAACCUGGUAAUUUUAUAACAAGCUCAUCAACUUUGAUGCAAUUUGAUUAUAAAAAUUUUGGACUUCAAUUCGAGGUGAAGGAUGAGUCAAAGUGCUAAUUUGUCAUCAAACCGCAAAUGAGUGUAGUAGUUAUAUAUGAAUCAGGUUUCAGAAAAAAGAGGCUCAAAUGACAAAUAGCUAAUAUAUCAAGGGUACCUUGAAUAGCCCGAUCACAACUGCAACCCUCGCAGCGUCAGAUGCAGCUGAAAAUCCAGCACUCUGUAAAACUCGAUAUGUAUAUUAGGAGGAAGAACAAAAUGAGAGAGAAUAUAAGAAGAUAACCCAUUUCAUAGCAAAACACCGGGAAAUUAGUAUCACAAAAAAAAAAAAUUAUUGAAGUACCUGAAGUAUUGAGGCCGCAUAGUACAAAACGCUAGGUUGACCUGUUAUCUGUCAGAAAUAAGUUCAAUUCACUUAGCUACAAGAAGCUUAUUUAUAAUCACCAUACCAAAUAAAUUGUUAAUGCAUGUUUACGGGCAAAAAAGUUAACACCUGCUGAAAGAGAACUAACCCUCCACCGAUGAUGAAGGCCUUUAAACUAGCACCUUCGAACACCUCCCAGAAACUUCCCUCCUGUUCUUGUUCAGCAUAAGCAGACUUGAGAGAGACUAAGGUAUCGUCUAUCUCUCUCUCUGAUAUCUUAUCACCAGCUGGACGGCCCCUUAAUUUUGCCAAAGCAUUAAUGGCCCUUUCCUUAUAUUCCGCCAAAGGUCCUUUGCCUUGAACUGCUCUAAAAAGUAACCAUCUUGGAGAAGGUGGCAAAACCCACAUCCCUAACCCCAUUAUAACUGCAAUAGGGGCACUAAAACUAUACAUGUAACGCCACCCUCCAAUAACAUUAAUCUGAGCACUUCCCACAAGGUAACCCAACUGCAAGAACAAUGAAAUGUCUAUUAGAUUAUAACAUAACAUUGAACAUUCAAACUGAUAGGGUGUCGCCUGGGUAGCCGCAGUAGUUAUACAUAAAUUAGAAACAGGCAAGUCAUAUUGUAUAACACAUCAGGUCGGUAAAUAGUAUCAAGGGAAUCACAGUAAUUCCAAUGAUGGAAAAAGGGAAACACUAUUAACAUGGGUAUCAUACUUACCAGAAUUCCGAGUACGAUGAAAAGCUCCUUCAGAGAAAUCAAGGUUCCACGUAUUUGCGAUGGGGAGGUCUCUGCAAUAUAAAGAGGAGCACCAUGCAUCGCCUAUAAUAGAAUAAUGAUCAGUAUAACUGAGAAAGAGAUCUAUUGGAUAAAACUUAGUAAUCUUGGUUUCUUCAUGAGAUGCAGUUCAAUGUCAAAAGUCACAUAGAAGCCGAAAACAGUAAUUUUCUUUUAAGGCCUCCUUGGUGACAGUUCCGUUGAUUAAAAUGAGAUAAGAGUUCUAGUGCUUAAGCCCUACAUGUUAUAUUCUAGGUAGUUCAACAAGUAAGAAAAAGAAUUAUGCUCAAGAAGAUUGCGCCUAAUUGAUAGUUUAGGAUGUAGACUGUACAGCAAGCUAGUUCUGUUUGGCCUGAUUUUUUCAAACAGAUUCUCUAUCCGAGUGUUAGAAGCCAGGCAAGCAAAUGAAAUUUUGUAGAUUUUCCUUUGGUGAAAAGCUGAUAUGAGCUUCUAGGUCAAAAAGCAUAUGCUCGCUAUAGAAAUUUAGCUUCUGCCUUAUCUUACUAUUGUUCAGGGAUCUUAAUGAAGAUCUUGUCCUUACUUCUUUAAACAAUACUCUAUUUCUCUAAAAGGUAUCAGCAGCUCCGUACUUUAAUAGAACUACAGAAGCUCCAGUUCAAACAACCAAGCUUUUAAUUGUAGGCUGUAGCAGCCAUCUUCUGAAAGACCUCUACUCAAGAAGCAGCAGCAAAGAACUUGGUAAACAAAGAGUUUGAAAUUUCUAGCCAAAGGACGCUGUUAGCCUUCGGGAUCUUUUCAAGAAAAACUGCAGCUGCUUCUUCACACAAAAUGAUUUAGGUUGUAUUCUCUACAUUUGGUUCAACUGUGUCGAGAAAAAAAUGAACACACAAAGAUAAAAGAUCUUGUCAGUGCUACUCACCAAACCAAUACCAAUGCCAUAAAUAAGCCGACCUAUAAUGAGAACUGCGAGGUUAGGGGCAUAUCCAGUGAUCAAGCCACCGGUAAUGUAUAGUGCAGAAGCUGUUAUCAGCUCCAUUCUUCUUCCUACAGCAAGUCCAUGGAAUUAGUUAAAACUCUGCGGCAGCAAAUCUGCCACUUUAAACUUCAGAGGGAUAAAUUCAAAAAUUAAAACUUUUGGGGAAAAACCCGCCAUUUUAAAACUUUCCAGUAGUUUUUAUGAAUUAUCCCCCAACAAAAAACAAAAAAAAAAAAGAAGCCCAAAAGGAAUUUAGAUAUAGUACCUAGAAAAUCAGCAAUGGGAUAAGCAAUGAUAGAGCCAGCAAGAGCUCCAUACAGGGAACCGCUCACCUAAAUUGAACACAAAUAGUACUGUAGCAGAUCAACAAUUGAGCUCAUUUGAGAUCGAACAAGGACUAAUAAUUCAGGGGGAAAAAAUACAAUGAAUCCGAAGAAUUACCACAAGACCAAGCUGUACGGCCGAGAGAUUGAACCAAUUGGUACCACUCAGAUCAGCAGACUGAAAAGCAAAAUUGGACAUCGCAAUGAGUAGAAGCUCCUCCAUGAAGGCGAUCGACGAUGACGAUGAUGAAGAGGACAAAGAAAAUGGUGGUGCUGAUGACGACGACGAUGAUGAUGAAUAAACUCACCUGCAAAGAGAUGGAAGCACCGGAUGUGGCCCCAAUAUCGUACCCAAAAAGGAGUCCCCCCAACGCCGGGAACAAAAACCUGAACAAAAUUAGCCAUCCAAAAGAAACCUUACAAAAUCGUUCCGAUGAUCAUAAUCCGACACUCAAUACCACAUCCACACACAAACAAAUCUUACGGGAGAAGCACGGAGGGCCAAUUGAAGCUCUCCUGCCGAUCCGCGGCAUCUCCAGCGGUAUCAGGAGGAGGAGAAUGCGACGAGUAUUCGCCUUGCGCUUGAGAUCGAACCUAAGCUUCAGGAAUCAAAAAGAGAUGAGCGCGCGCGCGCGCGCGCGAGAGAGAGAGUCUCGGAGAAUCGAGUAAUGGAACUGGAGAUUAGAGAUUAGGGUACCCGGAGGCGAGGAGCGGAGGAGGAGGAGGAGGAGGAGGAGGAGGAUGGGAGGAGAGGGGCAGCUUGGGAAAUUUGGAAAGAGCAGGACUCCAUUUUCGCCGUCUUCGUCGUCGUCGUCGUCGUCGUCGGCGGCGGCGGCGGCGGCGGAGGGAGGUGGCGGAAAUGGCGGCGGCGGCGGAGGAAGGAAAAGGUUGGGGAGGGGAAGAGAGAGGCGGAGGGUCGGUAGCGUUUUGAGGGAGAGGGCGAGGAGGGGAGGAGGAGACGAAGGCUCGCCAUUGGUUUAAGCUUUUUUGUUUUGUUUUUUUGUUCACUCUCUCUCUCUCUCUCUCUUCCUCUUUUUUAUAUUUAUUUAUAAAAUUGUAUUAAAAUAAAAAAAAAAGUCACGUUUGUUGACUCCAGCGCACGGAGAGAAAUUUGUGCGGACGAGCUCCAUACACCAGGGCACGGAUAUUGUAGCCUGCGCUGAACCGGUUGCGCCACGUCAUUCUGUGAACCGCACAGUCCUCGUGAAUGAGUAGAUUUGAGGCCUUGGCCUUUUAAAAUUCAAAAUAUAAAAAAUUAUUACAAUUUACAAAAUAUUAUUUACUCGAUAAUUUAUACAUGGUAAGAAUGACAUAUAUGCAAUGAUUUUUUCAUCGGAAUUAUUCUUUCAUAUUUCAGUAUUUAUCAUCAAUUUAUUUUAACUUUUAAAUUAGUAUAAAAAAAUUUAAUUUUUUUAAAACUCUAAAAAUAAUGAAAAAUUAUCUGAAUAAUAUAUAUUUCCAUUAAAGAUGAUUUUCUCUAGAAAAUGUCUUUUACCAUAAAAUUAUACUGUUCAUAUAAUUUUAUAUCAAUUUAAAAAUUUCGACAGUUAUCUUAUUUUAUAUAAAAUUUUACAUAGUUUUAUAAUUUUUUUUUUCAACGAAAUCUCUUACUUACCUGUUGAAUGAUAAAAAAUUAAGUAAAGAACUUUGGUGUACAAGACAAUGUCAUAGUUAGUAGGCAAUUAUUCUCCUUUGUGCACUUUAAAGGAUCGGUCCAAAGAUGACGUGGUAGACUAAGUCCAAGGAACUAUCUCCAGUAGUAAGAGCAUAAAUUGUUACUGUGGCAAACAACCUAAUUUUUGGCAGGUUUUAAUUGAUUUUUGCAUAAAAAGCCAAAAAUUUCUGAAAAAAGACACAUGGUUUAUUAGUAAAAUUAAUAUUUAUAAUAUACAGCGAAUUUUGUAAUCUUUGUCCUGUGAGUAAUGAAAAUAACUUUUUAAAUCUUAAUUAAUUCUCUUAAUUGUAGUUUACUUGGUGUUCUCAGUUUCUACACUUUUUUUUUUUUUUACUUUGUUAAACAUUUAAUUAAAUUUUAAAUUUAUAGUGAUUCCUAAAUUGUUAAUAAAUGAUAGAACGCGAUGAAUAUUAAGUUUCUUGCUAAUUAUAUUAUGGAGUACCAAUAAAGUGAUACCAUUUCUGUGACUACUGAUCAGAUUCAUUGAAUCUCGUUAACUUAAGUCAAUAAUAAUCAGAUUUAAUAAAAUAUUUAUUAAUAUUAAAAUCAACUAUGUGAAUACUACUAUUAUAAUUAUUAUUCAACGGCCAAUAAAGCCCAUGGGCCUUGACAUUUUGAGGAGCUUCAAAUGUAAAUUGUAAUAUGAAUUUACGCUGCGGAAUUUGGGUUUCCUCGGCAAAGCCAUACAAAAAAAAAAAUUUUGGGCUAGAUUUUUUUUUUUUUUUUUUUUUUUGGGGGGUGGCGGGGGGGGGAAUGGCAAUGCAGAUUGUUUUAAACUUUUGGCUUGAGUAUAUUCAAAAACUAAAUUUUAAACGUAAAAUAAUAUUUAAACACUGCACACAAAUUUAAAUAAAAUGAGAAGCUCUCCACUGAUAUCACCUUAUAAUUUUUACAUAUUUCUUCUUCCUGAUUUAUUCAAAAUUUGUUAACAAUCAUUCGAGUUUAUUUCUCGUAUAGAAACAAAAACUCCGGAAAUCACAAGCUUUCCAUUUAAAUAUAAAUCACUCUAAUUACAUUUACACCAUCAAAUAAUUUUUUAGGACUCUUUUAAUAUGAAUUUAUGAUAGAUAAAAUGAUAAUUCGAAUCCGUUUUGGACUAUUGAAAUACUAUAUAUCGGAUAUAUAAUAUUAAUGUCGAUAUAAUAUUAUUACGAAAAGGUGCUUUUUAGAAAUUUAUUAUAUUAUAUAUAUAUAAUAGACUAUCGAUGUACCAAGUCCUUGGUACUUGAGUUUUCUACGUUAGAUUCUACCCUUUGAUCUUUUAUCCGUUUAGAUUCAUACUAUUAAACAACACCCACUACUCUAGGGGACACUCGUAUAUUUGAACGCGGGGGCCACUAUCAUCUGAACGCACAUCUUUUCAUCCAACGGCGAAAAAGUACAAGGGUGGUACUAUGAUAGUAUAGUAGCAAAAAAUACUACUUAUAUAAAU